GGCAGCCUUGUAUGUCGGACCAACCAUAAUAUACUUCCUGCAGUAUUUGCUGAGCAAGAGUCUGAGAUAAGGUAGUUCAUCAACAAUUGCACCAACACCUCCAUUUUUACUACCUCUUGAGAGUGCAUCAUUAUACUCUUCCAAUGUGCUGUAACUCCUAAAUUUGGAGCUGUCAAAUUUCAUGCGUGUCAAGACAUCUUUGACAAAGGAACCUUUUUGGUACCCUACAUAUUCUCCAUUCUUGAUGAGAUCAUUGAGGUCNNNNNNNNNNNNNNNNNNNNNNNNNNNNNNNNNNNNNNNNNNNNNNNNNNNNNNNNNNNNNNNNNNNNNNNNNNNNNNNNNNNNNNNNNNNNNNNNNNNNNNNNNNNNNNNNNNNNNNNNNNNNNNNNNNNNNNNNNNNNNNNNNNNNNNNNNNNNNNNNNNNNNNNNNNNNNNNNNNNNNNNNNNNNNNNNNNNNNNNNNNNNNNNNNNNNNNNNNNNNNNNNNNNNNNNNNNNNNNNNNNNNNNNNNNNNNNNNNNNNNNNNNNNNNNNNNNNNNNNNNNNNNNNNNNNNNNNNNNNNNNNNNNNNNNNNNNNNNNNNNNNNNNNNNNNNNNNNNNNUAAUCUUGUGAACAAGAUCAUCAUAGUUUUUAGAAGUUGGGCUAUGUGCUAUUGGAAAUGGAAUAAAUUCGUAAGGGACAUCAUAUUUCAAAGAUAGGAUGACUUCUUUGAAGACAUCUGGCCCUAAACCAGUUGAAAUUACUGCUUGUGUCGUUGGAUCUCUUUCCACUUUAAUGAAUUGCUCCAGCCCUCCUUUGUCAGGAACUCCCAACCCUUAACUUCUUCCCACUUGUGGGUAUUUCCCAGCCUCUCGGAACAAUAGUAGAUUCACCAGGCCAAAUGAUGAUCCCUAGUUGCUUAUUAUUAGUUUUAGCUGUUUUACCACUCAUCUUCAGUUUAUGCGAAAUGCCAUCCUUCUCUGUCCAGAAUCCAACGACUUUCUCUCCUUUCCCGAUUAUAUUCACAAUCUGAUAUGGGUACGGCUGCAGUUCUCUAUCAAUGAUACGGAAAUCACCACUUAGUCCUGGUUUUAGCUCUGUGUUUUGCAUAGAGUCAAUGAGCAGAGAUCCCACUUCUGAGGUUCUAAGUGCAUCUAGGUCUGUUAAGUUCUCUCUAGUGUCUGGUUUCUUUAAUUUUGGGAUAGCAGUAGUGCCCACUUUCUCUACUGCUUCUGCUAAUAAGGUGAUGCUAUCAUAUGCCCAUAGCCCGAAAACAUUGAGUUCUACUUGGUCCAUGUCUGGAUACUCUUGACGAAAUCUCUUUCUCCAUCUCUUGGUGAACAUGUCAAGCUCAUUUGAUCUUGUAACAUAAGAUUUUACACCCAGAACACCUUGCAUUGAUGACUCAAUUACUGAAGUAUCUACCAGGUUCCAUAGGGGCUUUCCUCAUAGAUUACUACAACCUCCCUCCAAUUAUAGUUUUUAACAAUUGCUGCAAUGGCUUUAGUCUGACUGGAAGAAGGAAGUGCUCCUCUGAUGAAGAAGGGAUUUUCCUUGACUGUAAGUAAAGGACUUGUUGCUGGAGAAAUUAUAGGGACUUUUACUCUGUUCCCUAAGUCGAUCACAAAAUCAGUUUGAGUAGACAUUUGUGGCCCAAAGAUAGCUUGCACUUGGACAUCCUUUAGCAAGUAUAUGGCUGCACAUACACAAUCAGACUUAUAAGUAAUUGUCUGAACAUCUCUUUCAAAAUAGAAAAACUAAAGGGAAAAGUAAUAUCUUAGAGAAAAAGUGAAUCUUUUGAAGCAAAGAGAGAGAGAUAAUGCUAGUUUAACAUAGGUAAAGCUUAGAGCUGAAUUUUACCAGCUGAUGCUGCUUCAACAUCAUCUUUCUUUGAAUCCCUGAUAUGAGGAACUAUCCUUAUGGCACCGCGACUAGUGUUGGCAUGAUAAUCCGCAAGAGCUAGUAAGAUAGAUAUGUGCAUUACUUUUCCUACUUCUGUUUCCAGAUCAAGAAUUAUUCCCACAUCCAUCUUUACAGCACUAGUGUUAUUAUCUUCACCUCUUAUUCCAAUUACAUAGUGGCAAAAACCAAUGAUGGAAACAAGUUGAAUGAAGAUAAUUAGGGAUUUGCAUCUUGGAUUAUGCAUUUGAAAAACUCUAGUAGACAGUAAUAUGAGAGCUGGACAAGAAGCAGUUGUGGUUGUGCAAGAUAUAUAACUAUAACUUUUCUAUAAUUAAAAUAAAACCAUACCUCAUAACUGCAGAAAGAAAAGUCAAAGUUUUUCAAGAAUAACAAAUGGUUUAAAAUAUUACUUCUAGUUUGAUUCUUAAAGAAAGAGGACUUUUCACACUUGUUAGACCACAAGCUAGUAAAGNNNNNNNNNNNNNNNNNNNNNNNNNNNNNNNNNNNNNNNNNNNNNNNNNNNNNNNNNNNNNNNNNNNNNNNNNNNNNNNNNNNNNNNNNNNNNNNNNNNNNNNNNNNNNNNNNNNNNAUUCAUCUUCAGUUUAUGCGAAAUGCCAUCCUUCUCUGUCCAGAAUCCAACGACUUUCUCUCCUUUCCCGAUUAUAUUCACAAUCUGAUAUGGGUACGGCUGCAGUUCUCUAUCAAUGAUACGGAAAUCACCACUUAGUCCUGGUUUUAGCUCUGUGUUUUGCAUAGAGUCAAUGAGCAGAGAUCCCACUUCUGAGGUUCUAAGUGCAUCUAGGUCUGUUAAGUUCUCUCUAGUGUCUGGUUUCUUUAAUUUUGGGAUAGCAGUAGUGCCCACUUUCUCUACUGCUUCUGCUAAUAAGGUGAUGCUAUCAUAUGCCCAUAGCCCGAAAACAUUGAGUUCUACUUGGUCCAUGUCUGGAUACUCUUGACGAAAUCUCUUUCUCCAUCUCUUGGUGAACAUGUCAAGCUCAUUUGAUCUUGGAACAUAAGAUUUUACACCCAGAACACCUUGCAUUGAUGACUCAAUUACUGAAGUAUCUACCAGGUCCAGAAGACUCGUCAGCACAUCAGUGAUGAUCCAUGCAUAUCCACUGUUCAUCAUCCCGGCUUCUUUGGCCUUGAGGAAAAGGCGGGAGGCAAGAUUUUCUUGCAAGUGCACAAUGAACACCCUGGUCUGCAUUGUCUUCAACUUGUAUAGCUCCCUGAGGAUUUGAUCAUCAUUGGCUGAAGGAGAAAUACCACUUCUAUAGGAGACUAAAGUAUUGAUUUCCAGCAAGGCAUCAGUCAAAUAUGGAAGUAUCCCGGUUCCAUAGGGGCUUUCCUCAUAGAUUACUACAACCUCCCUCCAAUUAUAGUUUUUAACAAUUGCUGCAAUGGCUUUAGUCUGACUGGAAGAAGGAAGUGCUCCUCUGAUGAAGAAGGGAUUUUCCUUGACUGAAAGUGAAGGACUAGUUGCUGGAGAUAUUAUAGGAACUCUAACUCUGUUCCCCAAGUCGAUCACAAAAUCAGUUUGUGUAGACAUUUGUGGCCCAAAGAUAGCUUGCACUUGGACAUCCUUUAGCAAGUAUAUGGCUGCACAUACACAAUCAGACUUAUAAGUAAUUGUCUGAACAUCUCUUUCAAAAUAGAAAAACUAAAGGGAAAAGUAAUAUCUUAGAGAAAAAGUGAAUCUUUUGAAGCAAAGAGAGAGAGAUAAUGCUAGUUUAACAUAGGUAAAGCUUAGAGCUGAAUUUUACCAGCUGAUGCUGCUUCAACAUCAUCUUUCUUUGAAUCCCUGAUAUGAGGAACUAUCCUUAUGGCACCGCGACUAGUGUUGGCAUGAUAAUCCGCAAGAGCUAGUAAGAUAGAUAUGUGCAUUACUUUUCCCACAUCUGUUUCCAGAUCAAGAAUUAUGCCCACAUCCACCUUUACAGCACUAGUGUUAUUAUCUUCACCUCUUAUUCCAAUUACAUAGUGGCAAAAGCUAAUGAUGGAAACAAGUUGAAUGAAAAUAAUUAGGAAUCUGCAUCUUGGAUUAUGCAUUUGAAAAACUCUAGUAGACAGUAAUAUGAGAGCUGGACAAGAAGCAGUUGUGGUUGUGCAAGAUAUAUAACUAUAACUUUUCUAUAAUUAAAAUAAAACCAUACCUCAUAACUGCAGAAAGAAAAGUCAAAGUUUUUCAAGAAUAACAAAUGGUUUAAAAUAUUACUUCUAGUUUGAUUCUUAAAGAAAGAGGACUUUUCACGCUUGUUAGACCACAAGCUAGUAAAGCCUCCUCUUCAGUUUUGACCAAAUCAAUAAAUGUCUAAAUGAACAUAGUGACAAAAUUGAUUGGUACGCAUUCUCCCAAUUAUAUAUAACCUAUGACGUUUGUGUAUUUAUUUGAUGACUAUCUAGAGUCUAUUAAAAGGACUUCCCACAUUUUGGCUAAGUCAUGCAUGGUGAAAGUUGAGAGCUAGCUCAGAUACAAAUAAGUAGAAGAGACCAUUGUUUCUAUGACUUGGAAAAGAGUAGCUAUGACUAGUAAUCUUUAGCUUACACGGUUUCAGUUUAGAAUUGGUCAGUAGUAUUAACUUGCUUGCAUUUUUAUUUUAUUUUAAGAUGAGUGGAACUUUUUUUUUUUUUGGCUUUUUCUAAUUGUUAAUCUUAUAUAUUUUUUAAAUUUAUUUGUGAAAUUUGCAUAAAUAGCAAUCUUUUUUAUUUUAAGAUGAGUGGAACUUCUCUUCUUUUUUUUUUUUUGCUUUUUCUAAUUGUUGAUCUUAUAUUUUUUUAAUUAAUUUUUAUUUGUGAGGUUUGCAUAAAUAGCCGAAGAGGUUCAAACCCACAACUCUAGCAUGGGAAAGCAUUCCCAAGACCCCUUCCUUACCACUAAGCCAUCAAUUAGUUUUGUUAAGGGGUUCACAAGUUAAAAUACAUAUAUAUUUAUUUAAUUUUUUAAUACAAGUAGAGGGUUUAUGGAAAAGCUAUUGGGUUCGCCCGAACCCCCACUAAGAUAGGCAUAAAAGUAUCAAUACAUUUAUUUUUAUGAAGGUAAAUACCAUUAGAUGUAACUUUUCAAGAAUGAAAACAUGUAUUAAAACAAAACUGAAAAGAGUAAUAACAUAAGUGAGAAAAAAGACAAGAAAUGUAGAGAGACAAGAGAGAGUUUUCUUAUUCUUCCAAGUAUAAUCAAGUGUUUUUCAAAUCUUCAAGUGCAUAACACAAUCUCAAGACCUCUAUUUAUAUUGUUAUAAAAAGGCAUACAAAGAUAUAACAAUAACCAUGAUAUUAAUUUUUGAGAAUGUAGGGAAGAUCAAGGGAUAACAAUAAACAUGAUAUUAAUUUUUGAGAAUGUAGGGAAGAUCAAGGGGUGUAGAAGAUAAAUGAGGAGAUGGUGAAGGUGCGAGUAUUAUUACAUAUAAUGGUGAAAUUACACCUUGAAGUUAUGGACAUCCACAUUAAUAUAAUAUAUUUACAACAAAACAUUAAUUACAUAUAAAUUAUAACUAAAUUAAAAAUGAUGAGAAAAACAUAAAAAUGCCCCCAAAAAAGGAGAAAAAAAUUAAAUAUGAAUAGAGAUCAUAGAGAGGUGUCACGUCACUUUGUCUAUAUCUAGCUUUAUUUUAUAUAUAUAAGUAAGAAUAGAGGUCAUAGCCUAUAUCUAGCUUUAUUAUAUAUAUAGAUUUUUCUUCAAUUUUUGUUGGUUUUCUCUUUUUAAAUUUAAUUAUGUAAUACGUAAUAAUAAAAAAAAAACAAGAGCCUUAUUUUCCCCCAAUUUUCAUUGGUUUUUUCUUUUUAAAAUUUAUUUAUGUAAAUAUAUUCUUUUUAAAAUUUAUUUAUGUAAUUAUUAUUUUUUUGGAAUAUUUUUAAUAGCUCAAAAAAAAUUAAUACAAUUGAAUGAAAAGAGAAAAUCGGGUUAUUUUAAUCAAAAUUGAACAAUUUGAGUUGAUUUGGGGCUUUCCGUCAAAAGAGGGGUAUAUAUAUGGUGAAAUUAGUAACGGUAGGGAAAAAACUAACUUCACUUUAACGGUAAGGGCAUAGUCAACCAAUAAAACAAAAUUAAGGGGUGUUUUUGACCCUUUUCCCUAAUCUUUUUCAUAGGUAGCAGUGGAUACUGGAUACAUUUGUUAUAGUCAUAUACUCAAUAAUAUAGUAAUUUUUGUUUAUAUUUUUUAUGAACUGAAAUUGCAAGAAUUAUCAUUUAAUAAGCGAGUUUUCAAUUUUUGUUCUUCAACGGUCGAAUUUAUAUCUAGUAAAAUAUAUAUUCUGUAAAGGAGAAAAGUCAUGUAAGGCAUAAGUUGCGGAUAUUAUAAUGCAAGUAUGUAUAUAUAUAUAUCAGAAAAUAAUUUAUCUUGAACACAAAAAUUAAAAAUUAGCACAAAAUAAGGACAAAAGUGCAAUAUAUGUAUAUAUAUGUGUUAUCAGAAAGCUAUUUAUCUUGAACACAAAAAUUAAAAAUUAGCACAAAAUAAGGACAUAAGUGCAAUAUAUGUAUAUAUAUGUGUUAUCAGAAAGUUAUUUAUCUCGAACACAAAAACUAAAAAUUAGCACAAAAUAAGGUCAAAAGUGCAAAAAUUUUAUACUUUCGCUCUCCCGACUCAAGCUAAUACGUUAAAAAUUAAUGGGAAAAUUAUACAUAAUAGUAAAUAUUUAGCCUGUAUUAGGUGAUAUAGCUAUAGUUUUAGAAAAUUGUAAUUCGCGGCUAUAAUUUUUUCAAUUCUUGCUAUUGACCUGAUUUGUAUAAUUCGCAUAAUUUGUAUAAAUCUAGAAUUUGUAUAAUUCGGUUCCUAAUAGUAAAAAUCUAGAAUUGUGUAUAUGUUUACCCUAGUUAUUUGUAUACGAUUUAUUAUUUAUAAUAAAUUACCUUGUUUGUAUAUCGACAAGCGAAAUAUAUAAAUGGAGUUCUGAAAAAUUCAUAAAUGUAUAAAUACAUAAUUUGUAUAUAUUUAUCCUAUUGGUAUAUUCACAAGCGAAAUAUACAAACGUGCAGAAAUAUACAAACCACAGCCUCCAUAUCAAACAGAACUAUAGCUAUGGAGCGCAGUUAUUAGAGCUUUAUUAUGUUUGCUAUUUCUAAAAUUUUCUCAAAAUUAAAAUAGACUAUGUUUUUCGGUCUUAUUUCAAUAGGCUCAUAUGGUAUAUAAUUUGAAAGCCUAGGUUUUUUUUGUUUUUUUAUAUCAAUAUUCUUUCAACUUAGCCGAUUGACAAUUAAUUAAAUCGAUGACAAAAAUAUUGAUUUCGUAAAUUUGAGUGAUGAAAAUCAAAUUAGAAAAGUAACUAACAAAUGGAAUAUUUUAUGUUAGUGAAUGAAUGAAAUUAUAGGCCUCUUAAUUACAAGAUUUAGAUAAUCUUCUUUCUUUUGAAUUAAUUUUUGAGGUGUGAAUUAUACUCAAAAUAUAAUUUAACAUGACAUUAAAGACAAACCUGAUGUGGGCUCCCAGGAAACCAAACAAUUGCGGAGGUGGAAAUUAUUUUCUAUUCAUGAAUGUGAGCAUGUGACACACCGAAUUGGAUCAUUAUUAUAAUGCAAGUAUGUAUAUAUAUAUAUCAGAAAAUAAUUUAUCUUGAACACAAAAAUUAAAAAUUAGCACAAAAUAAGGACAUAAGUGCAAUAUAUGUAUAUAUAUGUGUUAUCAGAAAGUUAUUUAUCUCGAACACAAAAACUAAAAAUUAGCACAAAAUAAGGUCAAAAGUGCAAAAAUUUUAUACUUUCGCUCUCCCGACUCAAGCUAAUACGUUAAAAAUUAAUGGGAAAAUUAUACAUAAUAGUAAAUAUUUAGCCUGUAUUAGGUGAUAUAGCUAUAGUUUUAGAAAAUUGUAAUUCGCGGCUAUAAUUUUUUCAAUUCUUGCUAUUGACCUGAUUUGUAUAAUUCGCAUAAUUUGUAUAAAUCUAGAAUUUGUAUAAUUCGGUUCCUAAUAGUAAAAAUCUAGAAUUGUGUAUAUGUUUACCCUAGUUAUUUGUAUACGAUUUAUUAUUUAUAAUAAAUUACCUUGUUUGUAUAUUGACAAGCGAAAUAUAUAAAUGGAGUUCUGAAAAAUUCAUAAAUGUAUAAUACAUAAUUUGUAUAUAUUUAUCCUAUUGGUAUAUUCACAAGCGAAAUAUACAAACGUGCAGAAAUAUACAAACCACAGCCUCCAUAUCAAACAGAACUAUAGCUAUGGAGCGCAGUUAUUAGAGCUUUAUUAUGUUUGCUAUUUCUAAAAUUUUCUCAAAAUUAAAAUAGACUAUGUUUUUCGGUCUUAUUUCAAUAGGCUCAUAUGGUAUAUAAUUUGAAAGCUUAGGUUUUUUUGUUUUUUUAUAUCAAUAUUCUUUCAACUUAGCCGAUUGACAAUUAAUUAAAUCGAUGACAAAAAUAUUGAUUUCGUAAAUUUGAGUGAUGAAAAUCAAAUUAGAAAAGUAACUAACAAAUGGAAUAUUUUAUGUUAGUGAAUGAAUGAAAUUAUAGGCCUCUUAAUUACAAGAUUUAGAUAAUCUUCUUUCUUUUGAAUUAAUUUUUGAGGUGUGAAUUAUACUCAAAAUAUAAUUUAACAUGACAUUAAAGACAAACCUGAUGUGGGCUCCCAGGAAACCAAACAAUUGCGGAGGUGGAAAUUAUUUUCUAUUCAUGAAUGUGAGCAUGUGACACACCGAAUUGGAUCAUGAAAUCUCAUAUAAAGAAUUUGGAUUUGUACGGUAUAUAUGAGGAUAAUAAUGAAAGAAAUGUCUCACAUCAAUGAUAAAUAAAAUCCUAAGCUUCGUUGUUCAACAAGUGAAUUCAAAUUUUUAGAUUCUUUAAUAUCUUGAUGUUAAACUAAAAAAUAUUGGUUUAUAAUUACUCUUAAUUAUUUAAUUUUUUGUCGGUUUGCUUCACGGGUGUGAUUAGCAAGGGAUAAUCAUUCAUUUUGUGGCAUGUAUAAUUAAUAAUUACUAGUGUAUUUGUCCGCGCUUUGCGUGUGUAUAAAAAAAUAUUAAAUAUAUUUUUAAAUAAUUAAUGUUAUUAUUUGAUAAAUAUUCUAAUAAAUAAUAUAAUAAAAGGGAGAAACACAAAUUAAGUUACGAUUUUGAUAUUAUCUAUUCAGAAAAAUUGUUAAAAAAGUUUCAUGCUACAGUUUCAAUUUAAAAUUGCUGAUAAAAAGAUGAAAAUAUAAAAUUGAUAUGAAAAGCUUUAGUUAAAUAAACAAUCUAAUUAUCAUAGUUUCAUACUAAAUUUCAUGAUUUUAUAGCAAUAUUAUUGAUUCAACCAUUAAUAUUAAAUCUACUUUAUCGUAAAUUAUGUGACUUUCUUUUUUUGUAUAAAUGACUAUAUAAUAGAAAUAAGAAAAUCAAAAUAUAUUUGUGCUAAAUCAUCGUGAGGGAAAAAAUAUUUGAAUUAUAUUCGAACAUAGUUAUACACAAAAUUCAAAAGUUAGAGAUUUUUUUUCGAUAUCCGAUGCUCAUAGUGACACUCAUUUGAUACAUAUUUGUGUCGCAUAAUGAUAUCCGAUGCACGUAGUGACACUCAUUUGAUACAUAUUUGUGUCGCAUAAGAUCCAUUAAUAUUUUAAUUUAUAUUUAAACUUUCAUUCUUAUAGUGUGCAUUGUGAAAAGAGAUACUUAAGUUGCUACAGUGAAACAUUACCGUUGAGGUUAUACUUUUACAAUAAAAAUUAAAUUAAAUUAAACACAUAAUUUUGUCGUAUUAAGAUUAUCAGAUAGUGAUGAAGAAAUAAUUUUUUUACAAAAGAUAUGAGUAUGUAGUGUUCAAGAUGUAGAAAAAGUAUCAAGAGUUAGAUAAAUUUUUUCAAUUUAUAUAUAUAUGUGGGACAAUAAAAGUUUAACAACAUCAAAAUAAUUAUUCCUAUUAUUACAAUUUUAUUGUUGUAAUUAUUAUAAAUAAAUUGGAGCAAUAACUCUCCAAAAGAUAACUCCAUUUUUUGAUGUGGGAAAAAUAAAAUAUUUUUUUUACUUUCAAUAAUAAUAAAUUUAAACACAAAUUUGUUAUUAAAGGAAUUAAAUGAUGAAAUUUAAAAAAUUUCUUGAUAAAUAAGAGAGUUGAAUAAAUUAUUUUUUAGUAUAUAUAUACACACACUUGAUUAUUUUUAGGGAAAAGGGUCAAAAAUAUUCUCAAUUUUAGUUUAUUAGUUAAAUAUACCCCUAUCGUUGAAACAAAGUUAUUCAUACCAUCACCGUUACUAAUUUCACCAUUUAUACCCCUCAAUUUACGGAAAUUCCUAAAUCAAACAAAAUUGACCCGAUUUCUUAAAAAAUGACUCAUUUUCCAUUUUAAACCUAUGACCGACCCAUCUAUCUAUCUUAAACCCAAAAGAAUUUAACCCAUUUUCUAUACCCAUUCUAAAAAGAAAAUUCAUUUGGAGCUACUUGGGAGAAUGAAUUAUAGGUGACAAAAAAGUGUUGAAAUGUAAAAAGAGUGACUCUAGUUUUAAUUAUUAAGUGUACGUGACAAAUUUUUAAUUAAUUUUUAAAAAUAAUUAUAUAGGUCCUCAAGUUUUUAUUUUUACACUUUCACCCAAAUUUAAGUAAACCCCUAAUUUCUAAAAUAGGAAAACCCCCAAAUCAGUUCUUUUUUGUUCUCUCCCAACGUCCCGCUCUUUUCACAUUUUUUUUGCUUCUAAUCUUCAUCACUAGGCGUGACCUGACUUCAAAGACAUUGUCGAGCAGCACCUAAACACACAAAAAUCGAUCCGAUCUAAGCACUUUUAGACGAGUAUGAUGACUCUACUAAUGGAGGAAAGAGAAGAAGGAGAGUGGCAUCGUGGUCGGCCAUGGCCGUUUCCGAAGCAAACUGUCGUCGCCGGAGCUCGAAGCAGACAAUUGGAGAGAAUCAAAGACAUAGAUUUUACCCAAAUAAUUAUAACAAAAAAAAUUAAACCAAUAAAAGAAAAUUCACAACCCCACCCCCUGUAAUGUCUUCCUCAAAGAUCCUACUCAUUUGCAGAAACAUCUACACACCCCAUCCUUCCCUCUAAUUUUUUUCUCCAAACUCUCCAAUUCCUUUUAGUGCGCACACACCUACACACUAUUUCUUUUUUCAUCAUUUUAGUGUAGUAUCUUUAUUCACUAUUAUUAGAAUUUAACUUUGUAAGGGAAUUGGUGAGAUAGGUAAAUGUGCUUCUCACAAAGAUGUCUGCUUUUUGCAGUCAUGCGAAGAGGCAGCGAUGAUGAUGUUCACUUUUUGAGCUAGCUAACUUUGGAAUCUGGAGAAAAAUAAUUUAAAAGGAAGAAUAAAAAAAGUUUGUAGAAAUGGUGGCUAAAGGGUAAGGAAAAUGAGUUAAAUUAUUUUGGGUUUAAGAUAGAUAGAUGGGUCAGGCAUGGGUUUAAAAUGGGAAAUAGGUCAUUUUUUAAUAAAUCGGGUCAAUUUUAUUUGAUUUGGGGAUUUCUGUCAAUUGAGGGGUAUAAACGGUGAAAUUAAUAACGGUGAGGGUAUAAAUAACUUUGUUUUAACGGUAUGGGUAUAUUCAACUAAUAAACUAAAAUUGAGGGGUAUUUUUGACCCUUUUCCCAUAUUUUUAUAAUGCCUUUAUUUAUAGGAUAACAAUAUAAAAUAUCAAAUGAUAUCAUGAACAUGACUAUUAAUAUGAUUUAAGAGAUAUGAUCAAGUCAUGAAAGUAAGGAAAAUAAAGACAAUUAAAUAUCAAAUGAUAUUAUGAACAUAAUUAUUAAUAUAAUUUAGGAGUUAUGAUCAUCAAAAGUCAUGAAAAUAAAAACAAUUAAAAUUUUCUAUUAAAAAAUAUAAAUAAAUGAAGGAAUAUAAUUGACAUAUUCAUUUUUGUACAACAAUAAGAUAUAUAUAAAUAAGAAAAAUUAUCAAAAAAUGAGAAAAAAAGAAGAUAAAUAUGAUUCUUGGCCAAAAAAAUGUGUCACGUCACUUUUCUUUUAUCUAGAUAAUUUAUAUGUUGGUAAAGAAAGUAGAUUGAGAGAGAAAAACAAUUUUACUAAGUCGUUUAUAUCCUAAUCAAGUCUAAAAAUACCCCUCAUUCAUCUAUUGAGCUAAAAAUACCCCUCCAUCCACCUUUUUGGUCCAUCUCUACCCCUUAAAAACUAACAACUACUUUUUAAAAAUUAUUAUUAUUAUUAUUUGUUACGUGUCAUUUUCUUAUUGGAUAAUUAAAUCUCAACCCAUUUAAUUUUCCCCUACCCACCCAUUGUAGUGAACAUGAUCAAACCCAAUUAGAAGACCCAUUAAAAAUAAUUGAUUGAAACUUUCUCCCCUAACCCCAAGCCUCUUUCUUCUUCCCUCUUUUCUUAUUCAAAAAUUUCAAGAUAAUAUUCAAUCAAAUAAUACAAUUUCCGCUGCAAUACUAACUUGAAGUUGAAGGAUUCAAGGAGUAUUGAUUUUUGCAGUCUUCUUUCCAUCACGUAAAAAAAACUACACCAAAAUCUAUCAAAAUUGCACCUGAGCUAUAACAAAACAGAAGCAAACCUGCACCUAUAUUAUACCACAAACUAAAUCAAAACUGUAAAGAAACAGAGGCCAAAAGGCAAUGAAAGUGCACCAUAAUGAGAUUAAAAACUGGACCAAAAUUUGAUGAUAAACAGCACCAAAGCUGGUCCAAAAACGAAAAUAAAAGUGGUUCAAAUUUACUUUAUUAACGAUGGAAUACAUUACAAUGAAAUUUACGAAUUAUUCCAACUCCUUAAACGUAAGAAUAUUAAUCAAACUAAACACAAUUUCACUAUCAUACCAACAAUAAUAGUAAUUAUAAUUAAGAACAUUAUACUAACUAGACACCAUCAACAAAUUUUCAUAUCAUACACUUAUCUAGAUUGCAUUGGACAUUGUAUCAUUUGAUUGAAAGUAGUCUAGAAAUAUUUUGAAUAAGAAAAGAGGGAAGAAGAAAGAGGCUUGGGGUUAGGGGAGAAAGAUUCAAUCAAUUUAUUUUUUAAUGGGUCUUCUAAUUGGGUUUGGGUCAUGUUCACUACAAUGGGUGGGUAGGGGAAAAUUAAAUGGGUUGAGAUUUAAUUUAUCCAAUAGGAAAAUGACAUGUAACAAAUAAUAAUAAUAAUUUUUUAAAAAAAAGUGAUUGUUAGUUUUAAGGGUAAAGAUGGACCAAAAAAGUGGAUGGAGGGGUAUUUUUUAGCCCAAUAGAUGAAUGAGGUAUAUUUUGUCGAGGGGGUUCGGGUGAACACUCUCCCUCCCUUGAUUUGCUCAUUGAUACUAUUAUUGUUAGUGCAAGAGGAAACUGCUAGGGAAGUUGCCUAUGAUCUAUGUUGGAGCAGAUGGGAUAUAAGAUUUUGAUUUGAUGGGUUCAAUUUUUAGAUUCUCAUCAUUGAGCCCGUUAUACUUUGAAAUUAUGGUGGGUUCAUGAUAUUAUAUUAUUAAUUAAAAUUUUAGUGAUUUUUCACAUAUACUUUUAUGAUCUGUGUCAAAAAUGCAAAGCUUAUACUUAUAUUCGCCAUCCGCCCUGUGUAACUGAACAUAUUACUGUUUAUCUUCCAUGUAGCAGUGAUCCUAAAACCUUUCCUUAUNNNNNNNNNNNNNNNNNNNNNNNNNNNNNNNNNNNNNNNNNNNNNNNNNNNNNNNNNNNNNNNNNNNNNNNNNNNNNNNNNNNNNNNNNNNNNNNNNNNNGUUAUUCAGCUGAAGAGGUUAGUUUUACCUUAGAAUUGAUCUUGUGAACAAGAUCAUCAUAGUUUUGAGAAGUUGGGCUAUGUGCUAUUGGAAAUGGAAUAAAUUCGUAAGGGACAUCAUAUUUCAAAGAUAAGAUGACUUCUUUGAAGACAUCUGGCCCUAAACCAGUUGUAAUUACUGCUUGUGUCGUUGGAUCUCUUUCCACUUUAAUGAAUUGCUCCAGCCCUCCUUUGUCUGGAACUCCAACCCUUAACUUCUUCCCACUUGUGGGUAUUUCCCAGCCUCUCGGAACAAUAGUAGAUUCACCAGGCCAAAUGAUGACCCCUAGUUGCUUAUUAUUAGUUUUAGCUGUUUUACCAUUCAUCUUCAGUUUAUGCGAAAUGCCAUCCUUCUCUGUCCAGAAUCCAACGACUUUCUCUCCUUUCCCGAUUAUAUUCACAAUCUGAUAUGGGUACGGCUGCAGUUCUCUAUCAAUGAUACGGAAAUCACCACUUAGUCCUGGUUUUAGCUCUGUGUUUUGCAUAGAGUCAAUGAGCAGAGAUCCCACUUCUGAGGUUCUAAGUGCAUCUAGGUCUGUUAAGUUCUCUCUAGUGUCUGGUUUCUUUAAUUUUGGGAUAGCAGUAGUGCCCACUUUCUCUACUGCUUCUGCUAAUAAGGUGAUGCUAUCAUAUGCCCAUAGCCCGAAAACAUUGAGUUCUACUUGGUCCAUGUCUGGAUACUCUUGACGAAAUCUCUUUCUCCAUCUCUUGGUGAACAUGUCAAGCUCAUUUGAUCUUGUAACAUAAGAUUUUACACCCAGAACACCUUGCAUUGAUGACUCAAUUACUGAAGUAUCUACCAGGUUCCAUAGGGGCUUUCCUCAUAGAUUACUACAACCUCCCUCCAAUUAUAGUUUUUAACAAUUGCUGCAAUGGCUUUAGUCUGACUGGAAGAAGGAAGUGCUCCUCUGAUGAAGAAGGGAUUUUCCUUGACUGUAAGUAAAGGACUUGUUGCUGGAGAAAUUAUAGGGACUUUUACUCUGUUCCCUAAGUCGAUCACAAAAUCAGUUUGAGUAGACAUUUGUGGCCCAAAGAUAGCUUGCACUUGGACAUCCUUUAGCAAGUAUAUGGCUGCACAUACACAAUCAGACUUAUAAGUAAUUGUCUGAACAUCUNNNNNNNNNNNNNAAAUUUAUUUGUGAAAUUUGCAUAAAUAGCAAUCUUUUUUAUUUUAAGAUGAGUGGAACUUUUUUUUUUUUUGGCUUUUUCUAAUUGUUAAUCUUAUAUAUUUUUUAAAUUUAUUUGUGAAAUUUGCAUAAAUAGCAAUCUUUUUUAUUUUAAGAUGAGUGGAACUUUUUUUUUUUUUGGCUUUUUCUAAUUGUUAAUCUUAUAUAUUUUUUAAAUUUAUUUGUGAAAUUUGCAUAAAUAGCAAUCUUUUUUAUUUUAAGAUGAGUGGAACUUCUUCUUUUUUUUUUUGCCUUUUCUAAUUGUUAAUCUUAUAUAUUUUUUAAUUUAUUUGUGAAAUUUGCAUAAAUAGCAAUCUUUUUUAUUUUAAGAUGAGUGGAACUUCUUCUUUUUUUUUUUGCCUUUUCUAAUUGUUAAUCUUAUAUAUUUUUUAAUUUAUUUGUGAAAUUUGCAUAAAUAGCAAUCUUUUUUAUUUUAAGAUGAGUGGAACUUCUCUUCUUUUUUUUUUUUUGCUUUUUCUAAUUGUUGAUCUUAUAUUUUUUUAAUUAAUUUUUAUUUGUGAGGUUUGCAUAAAUAGCCGAAGAGGUUCAAACCCACAACUCUAGCAUGGGAAAGCAUUCCCAAGACCCCUUCCUUACCACUAAGCCAUCAAUUAGUUUUGCUAAGGGGUUCACAAGUUAAUAUACAUAUAUAUUUAUUUAAUUUUUUAAUACAAGUAUAGAGUUUACAUAAAAGCUAUUGGGUUCGCCCGAACCCCCACUAAGAUAGGCAUAAAAGUAUCAAUACAUUUAUUUUUAUGAAGGUAAAUACCAUUAGAUGUAACUUUUCAAGAAUGAAAACAUGUAUUAAAACAAAACUGAAAAGAGUAAUAACAUAAGUGAGAAAAAAAGACAAGAAAUGUAGAGAGACAAGAGAGAGUUUUCUUAUUCUUCCAAGUAUAUUCAAGUGUUUUCCAAAUCUUCAAGUGCAUAAUACAAUCUCAAGACCUCUAUUUAUAUUGUUAUAAAAAGACAUACAAAGAGAUAACAAUAAACAUGAUAUUAAUUUUUGAGAAUGUAGGGAAGAUCAAGGGGUGUAGAAGAUAAAUGAGGAGAUGGUGAAGGUGUGAGUAUUAUUACAUAUAAUGGUGAAAUUACACCUUGAAGUUAUGGACAUCCACAUUAAUAUAAUAUAUUUACAACAAAACAUUAAUUACAUAUAAAUUAUAACUAAAUUAAAAAUGAUGAGAAAAACAUAAAAAUGCCCCCAAAAAAGGAGAAAAAAAUUAAAUAUGAAUAGAGAUCAUAGAGAGGUGUCACGUCACUUUGUCUAUAUCUAGCUUUAUUUUUAUUUUAUAUAUAUAUAUAUAUAUAUAUAUAAGAAUAGAGGUCAUAGCCUAUAUCUAGCUUUAUUAUAUAUAUAGAUUUUUCUUCAGUUUUUGUUGGUUUUCUCUUUUUAAAUUUAUUUAUGUAAUACGUAAUAAUAAUAAUAAUAAAAGAGCCUUAUUUUCCCCCAAUUUUCAUUGGUUUUUUCUUUUUUAAAAUUUAUUUAUGUAAAUAUAUUCUUUUUAAAAUUUAUUUAUGUAAUUUUAUUUUUUUUGGAAUAUUUUUAUAUCUAUUAUAUUUUUAAUAGCUCAAAAAAUAUUAAUUCAAUUGAAUGAAAAGAGAAAAUCGGGUUAUUUUAAUCAAAAUUGAACAAUUUGAGUUGAUUUGGGGCUUUCCGUCAAAUGAGGGGUAUAUAUGGUGAAAUUAGUAACGGUAGGGAAAAAACUAACUUCACUUUAACGGUAAAAGCAUAGUUUACCAAUAAAACAAAAUUAAGGGGUGUUUUUGACCCUUUUCCCUUAUCUUUUUCAUAGGUAGCAGUGGAUACUGGAUACAUUUGUUAAAGUCAUAUACUCAAUAAUAUAGUAAUUUUUGUUUAUAUUUUUUAUGAACUAAUGAAAUUGCAAGAAUUAUCACUUAAUAAGCGAGUUUUCAAUUUUUGUUCUUCAACGGUCGAAUUUAUAUCUAGUAAAAUAUAUAUUCUGUAAAGGAGAAAAGUCAUGUAAGGCAUAAGUUGCGGAUAUUAUAAUGCAAGUAUGUAUAUAUAUAUAUCAGAAAAUAAUUUAUCUUGAACACAAAAAUUAAAAAUUAGCACAAAAUAAGGACAAAAGUGCAAUAUUUGUAUAUAUAUGUGUUAUCUGAAAGUUAUUUAUCUUGAACACAAAAAUUAAAAAUUAGCACAAAAUAAGGACAUAAGUGCAAUAUAUGUAUAUAUAUGUGUUAUCAGAAAGUUAUUUAUCUCGAACACAAAAACUAAAAAUUAGCACAAAAUAAGGUCAAAAGUGCAAAAAUUUUAUACUUUCGCUCUCCCGACUCAAGCUAAUACGUUAAAAAUUAAUGGAAAAAUUAUACAAAAUAGUAAAUAUUUAGCCUGUAUUAGGUGAUAUAGCUAUAGUUUUAGAAAAUUGUAAUUUGCGGCUAUAAUUUUUUCAAUUCUUGCUAUUGACCUGAUUUGUAUAAUUCGCAUAAUUUGUAUAAAUCUAGAAUUUGUAUAAUUCGGUUCCUGAUAGUAAAAAUCCAGAAUUUUGUAUAUGUUUACCCUAGUUAUUUGUAUACGAUUUAUUAUUUAUAAUAAAUUACCUUGUUUGUAUAUUGACAAGCGAAAUAUAUAAAUGGAGUUCUGAAAAAUUCAUAAAUGUAUAAUACAUAAUUUGUAUAUAUUUAUCCUAUUGGUAUAUUCGCAAGCGAAAUAUACAAACCACAGCCUCCAUAUCAAACAGAACUAUAGCUAUGGAGCGCAGUUAUUAGAGCUUUAUUAUGUUUGCUAUUUCUAAAAUUUUCUCAAAAUUAAAAUAGACUAUGUUUUUCGGUCUUAUUUCAAUAGGCUCAUAUGGUAUAUAAUUUGAAAGCCUAGGUUUUUUUUGUUUUUUUAUAUCAAUAUUCUUUCAACUUAGCCGAUUGACAAUUAAUUAAAUCGAUGACAAAACUAUUGAUUUCGUAAAUUUGAGUGAUGAAAAUCAAAUUAGAAAAGUAACUAACAAAUGAAAUAUUUUAUGUUAGUGAAUGAAUGAAAUUAUAGGCUUCUUAAUUACAAGAUUUGGAUAAUUUUCUUUCUUUUGAAUUAAUUUUUAAAGUGUGAGUUGUACUCAAAAUCUAAUUUAACAUGACAUUAAAGACAAACCUGAUGUGGGCUCCCAGGAAACCAAACAAUUGCGGAGGUGGAAAUUAUUUUCUAUUCAUGAAUGUGAGCAUGUGACACACCGAAUUGGAUCAUGAAAUCUCAUAUAAAGAAUUUGGAUUUGUACGGUAUAUAUGAGGAUAAUAAUGAAAGAAAUGUCUCACAUCAAUGAUAAAUAAAAUCCUAAGCUUCGUUGUUCAACAAGUGAAUUCAAAUUUUUAGAUUCUUUAAUAUCUUGAUGUUAAACUAAAAAAUAUUGGUUUAUAAUUACUCUUAAUUAUUUAAUUUUUUGUCGGUUUGCUUCACGGGUGAGCAUGUAUAAUUAAUUACUAGUGUACUUGUCCGCGCUUCGCGUGUGUAUAAGAAAAUAUUAAAUAUAUUUUUAAAUAAUUAAUGCCAUUAUUUGAUAAAUAUUCUUAUAAAUAAUAUAAUAAAAGGGAGAAAUACAAAUUAAGUUACGAUUCUGAUAUUAUCUAUUCAGAAAAAUUGUUAAAAAAGUUUCAUGCUACAGUUUCAAUUUAAAAUUGCUGAUAAAAAAGAUGAAAAUAUAAAAAUUGAUAUGAAAAGCUUUAGUUAAAUAAACAAUCUAAUUAUCAUAGUUUCAUACUAAAUUUCAUGAUUUUAUAGCAAUAUUAUUGAUUCAACCAUUAAUAUUAAAUCUACUUUAUCGUAAAUUAUGUGACUUUUCUUUUUUUGUAUAAAUGACUAUAUAAUAGAAACAAGAAAAUCAAAAUAUAUUUGUGCUAAAAUCAUCGUGAGGGAAAAAAUAUUUUGAAUUAUAUUCGAACAUAGUUAUACACAAAAUUCAAAAGUUAGAGAUUUUUUUUCGAUAUCCGAUGCUCAUUUUUUUUUUGAUAUCCGAUGCACGUAGUGACACUCAUUUGAUACAUAUUUGUGUCGCAUAAGAUCCAUUAAUAUUUUAAUUUAUAUUUAAACUUUCAUUCUUAUAGUGUGCAUUGUGAAAAGAGAUACUUAAGUUGCUACAGUGAAACAUUACCGUUGAGGUUAUACUUUUACAAUAAAAAUAAAAUAAAAUUAAACACAUAAUUUUGUCGUAUUAAGAUUAUCAGAUAGCGAUGAAGAAAUAUUUUUUUUUAAAAAAAAAUGAGUAUGUAGUGUUCAAGAUGUAGAAAAAGUAUCAAGAGUUAGAUAAAUUUUUUCAAUUUAUAUAUAUAUAUGGGACAAUAAAAGUUUAACAACAUCAAAAUAAUUAUUCCUAUUAUUACAAUAUUAUUGUUGUAAUUAUUAUAAAUAAAUUGGAGCAAUAACUCUCCAAAAGAUAACUCCAUUUUUUGUAUGUGGGAAAAUAAAAUAAUUUUUUUACUUUUCAAUAAUAAUAAAUUUUAAACACAAAUUUGUUAUUAAGAGAAUCAAAUGAUGAAAUUUAAAAAAUUUACUUGAUAAAUAAGAGAGUUGAAUAAAUUAUUUUUUAGUAUAUAUAUAUAUACACACACACUUGAUUAUUUUUAGGGAAAAGGGUCAAAAAUAUCCUCAAUUUUAGUUUAUUAGUUAAAUAUACCCCUAUCGUUGAAACAAAGUUAUUCAUACCAUCACCGUUACUAAUUUCUCCAUUUAUACCCCUCAAUUGACGGAAAUCCCUAAAUCAAACAAAAUUGACUCGAUUUCUUAAAAAAUGACUCAUUUUCCAUUUUAAAACCAUGUCCGACCCAUCUAUCUAUCUUAAACCCAAAAGAAUUUAACCCAUUUUCUAUACCCAUUCUAAAAAGAAAAUUCAUUUGGAGCUACUUCUCCAAUUGCGUUUUAGGUGACAAAAAAGUGUUGAAAUGUAAAAAGAGUGACUCUAGUUUUAAUUAUUAAGUGUAGGUGACAAAUUUUUAAUCAAUUUUUAACAAUAAUUAAAUAAGUCCUCAAGUUUUUGUUUUUACACUUUCAUUUUUUGGAGCAAUAAUUUUGUUNNNNNNNNNNNNNNNNNNNNNNNNNNNNNNNNNNNNNNNNNNNNNNNNNNNNNNNNNNNNNNNNNNNNNNNNNNNNNNNNNNNNNNNNNNNNNNNNNNNNNNUGACUUCAAAGACAUUGUCGAGCAGCACCUAAACACACAAAAAUCGAUCCGAUCUAAGCACUUUUAGACGAGUAUGAUGACUCUACUAAUGGAGGAAAGAGAAGAAGGAGAGUGGCAUCGUGGUCGGCCAUGGCCGUUUCCGAAGCAAACCGUUGUCGCCGGAGCUCGAAGCAGACAAUUGGAGAGAAUCAAAGACAUAUAUUUUACCCAAAUAAUUACAACAAAAAAAAUUAAACCAAUAAAAGAAAAUUCACAACCCCCACCCCCUGUAAUGUCUUCCUCAAAGAUCCUACUCAUUUGCAGAAACAUCUGCACACCCCAUCCUUCCCUCUAAUUUUUUUCUCCAAACUCUUCGAUUCGUUUUAGUGCGCACACACCUACACACUAUUUCUUUUUUCAUCAUUUUAGAGUAGUAUCUUUAUUCACUAUUAUUAGAAUUUAACUUUGUAAGGGAAUUGGUGAGAUAGGUAAAUGUGCUUCUCACAAAGAUGUCUGCUUUUUGCAGUCAUGAGAAGAGGCAGCGAUGAUGAUGUUCACUUUUUGAGUUAGCUGACUCUGGAAUUUGGGGAAAAUAAUUUAAAAGGAAGAGUAAAAAAAGUUUGUAGAAAUGGUGACUAAAGGGCAAGGAAAAUGAGUUAAAUUAUUUUGGGUUUAAGAUAGAUGGAUGGAUCAGGCAUGGGUUUAAAAUGGGGGAUGGGUCAUUUUUUAACAAAUCGGGUCAAGUUUGUUUGAUUUGGGGAUUUCUGUCAAUUGAGGGGUAUAAAUGGUGAAAUUAAUAACGACGAGGGUAUAAAUAACUUUGUUUUAACGGUAUGGGUAUAUUCAACUAAUAAACUAAAAUUGAGGGGUAUUUUUGACCCUUUUCCCAUAUUUUUAUAAUGCCUUUAUUUAUAGGAUAACAAUAUAAAAUAUCAAAUGAUAUCAUGAACAUGACUAUUAAUAUGAUUUAAGAGAUAUGAUCAAGUCAUGAAAGUAAGGAAAAUAAAGACAAUUAAAUAUCAAAUGAUAUUAUGAACAUAAUUAUUAAUAUAAUUUAGGAGUUAUGAUCAUCAAAAGUCAUGAAAAUAAAAACAAUUAAAAUUUUCUAUUAAAAAAUAUAAAUAAAUGAAGGAAUAUAAUUGACAUAUUCAGUUUUGUACAACAAUAAGAUAUAUAUAAAUAAGAAAAAUUAUCAAAAAAUGAGAAAAAAAGAAGAUAAAUAUGAUUCUUGGCCAAAAAAAUAUGUCACGUCACUUUUCUUUUAUCUAGAUAAUUUAUAUGUUGGUAAAAAAAGUAGAUUGAGAGAGAAAAACAAUUUUACUAAGUCGUUUAUAUCCUAAUCAAAUACUUUUGCAUUUUGAGUUCAGACCAGGUCAUAGCAGUAAUUUCUGAAAUUUCAAAAACUUAAGAACUUAUAACAAUAACAAUAAAAAAAAUUAAAAUAUGAAGAUCACAAAGUUACGUAUUAAUAGUUAAAAAAAAUUUAUGAAUUAAACUGUAUUUUGAAAAUUAAUUAACUUUAACAUUCUCAUAUUCUAUCAUUCAUCUAUUGGGCUAAAAAUACCCUUGAAGUAUUAGAAAAGGUCUAAAAAUACCCCUCCAUCCGCCUUUUUGGUCCAUCUCUAUCCUUAAAACUAACAGUCACUUUUAAAAAAAUUAUUAUUAUUAUUAUUUGUUACAUGUCAUUUUCUUAGUGGAUAAAUUAAAUCCCAGCCCAUUUAAUUUUCCCCUACCCACCCAUUGUAGUGAACAUGAUCAAACCCAAUUAGAAGACCCAUUAAAAAAUAAAUUGAUUGAGAUUUAAUUUAUCCAAUAGGAAAAUGACAUGUAAUAAAUAAUAAUAAUAAUAAUAAAAAAUUAAAAAGUGGUUGUUAGUUUUAAAGGUAGAGAUGGACCAAAAAAGUGGAUGGAGGGGUAUUUUUAGCCCAAUAGAUGAAUGAAUGGUAUUUUUAGACCUUUUCAAAUAAUUCAAGGGUAUUUUUGGCCCUUUUCUGUAAUUAAUAAAAAGUUGAUCCACAUAACUAUAAAAUUAUAUCUACAUACUUUCUUCAGUAGCAUACAUAUACAUGUAUAAGGGUGUAUAAAACCGAAUCGAAAACCUAACCAAACCGCAAACCGAGUCAACCCGGAAAAAAAACCCGAACUAGUGGUUUGGUUUUUGAAAAAAAAAACCCCGAACUAUAUUUGGGAUUGGUUUGGUUUUAACUAAAAAAAACCAACCCGACAUUAUAUAUAUAAUUUUAAAAUUUUAUUUUAUACAUAAAAAUAUUUACUUUGAUAUAAUUUUUAAAUAUUUCUUAUACUUUUUCAUAAUUUUUUAUCUUUUAUUAUAUUAUUUCAAGUUUUGAAACUUAGAAUUAUGAAUGGGCCAAUAAAAAUUAUAGUUCACAGAUGUUGGUAAUUGCCUAAUUAUAAUAAAGCUUAAAUCAAAAUUAAAUUAAUACUAAUGCAAAAAUAAAAUCAUUUCAACACGACAAUAAUAUUGAAUAUUUGUUCUUUAGUUUUACAUUGGUUUAGACAAUUAAAAUACAUAACCUAAUUUAAUUUCCUUUAAAUAUUUAGUCAUGUAACUAAUACUUAUUAAAUUUAUUUUUAGCAUGCUUUAGUACUUUUAAAUUAUGAUCAUUUUCAUUAUGACUUGUUAAUUUGCAAUAUUUGUUUUACACGAUUUCAUUAUUAUUAUUAUUUUUGUUGGAUAUUUUAGUGUCAUUAAUCAUAUUAUAUUGUAGUAUAUUUUUAAGAAACAUCUUAGAUAGUUGUAGUUUGGUAUGGCUAAAGAAAUAUUUGAAGUACAAGUAAAUUAUAUGUUUGUAUGAAUACUUUACCGAAACAACCCAAAAAACCGAAAAAACCUGAAAAACCCAAGGUUGAAAAACCCGAGUUUUAUUGGUUUGGUUUAUAAAUAUAAAAAUCCAACACAAAUGGUUUGGUUUGAUAUUUGAAAAACCCGAACCAACCCGACCAUGUACACCCCUAUACAUGUAUAUGUUAACUUCUUAUUCUACUUUGUUGAAUUAUAUCCUCAGCAUAAGUAGUGAAGACAAAACAAAGUAAUAAUAAAAUGACGGAAUGACCUGGGAGACCCAUGUACUUAGCUCCGUUUGUAAGUUGAACCCUCCUACUUAUCAAUUUGUCAACUGAACCCCUAAACCCAUCAGAACACAAUAUUUUAAACCCAUUUGACCAUUAACCGAACUUAUGUAGCAUUGAUAAUGCUGAGUUGGAAAAUUACGUAAUUACAUACGUUUGACAGUGAGUAAAUAAGGUAUUUUACAUUAAAAAUAUUUAAAUAAUAAUAAUCAAUUUAAAAAAAAUAAUUAAAAACCCAUCUUCCUCAACCAUCCCUCUCCAACCCCACUCCACCCCUCUCUCCUCCGUCCGAACCCAUAAACUCAUCAUAACACAAUAUUUUAAACCUCUUAGACCAUUGACUGAACUUAUGUAGCAUUGAUAAUGCUGAGUUGGGAAAUUACGUGAUUACAUGCGUUUGACAGCAAGUAAAUAAGGUAUUUUAAAUUAAAAAUAGAGUAAAGACAUAAAUACACCAUCAAAGUUGUCCCGUAUUUUCAUAAUGACACCUUAACUUUUAAAGUGUCCUAUCACACCACAGAACUAUUUAAUAUCUUUGUAAAUGGGCCAUUUUGACCCAUUCCCUCGUCUAUUUAGUGGCGCGUGUUGCUCACUCCCUAUGAUGAGAAAAGACCCGACCCGACCCUGUUCUUUGAAGAAAGUCAUUUCUCCUUUUCUUUUCUUAUUUCUCAACUUUCCCUAAAAUCUAAAGAAAUAGAAAAGUUUUCUCAACAACUUUAAGUAUGAGUGAAAUAGGUCUAAAAAUAGAGGAGAUUAGAUAAAGGAUUCAAUCCAAUUACUUUGGAAGUGGGUCCUGAAUCUUUGUUGCAUCAUUGCAGCUUCGAGGGAUCCUAAGUUUCCAUACACUAAGAACCAUUGAUUCUUAGGUGAAGUAAUACAAUGGCCGGUUUAAAACACGGGGCAAGAUCUAGUACAGGUGUAAGGGUUGAUUAACAUAUUAAGCAUGCAUGGAUUAAUACUUCUCUACACCGCAUAGAAUCUCAAUUUCCAGGAGCACACAACAUGAUGGAAGCGGAGCCCUCCCCAUUGGACAAAAUGAAAAAAUAAAUGUUAAUGCUGUUAUACCCCAUUUUAACUCGAGGUCAAAACGGUGUACGACAUUUUGGUGAUUUCCAAAUUAAUUAACUUAAGAAGUCGCCACCUAAUUAAUUACGGUGAAUUAGGACACCUAAAUAUUGAACUAAGUAAUACUAAAAUGACUUCAAUUAAAAGGUCUACUAAACUUAAGAUUCUAGGUAAGGGUUCUAAUUAUCCUAAAGGGAAGGGGUAAGGCAUCCUUUAAGAUCCAUUAAAGACGGUUACCGGCCAAACUUAGGUUAAUUAAUUUUAAAAGAAAGAUAUGAGUGUUAAAUAUUAAGUGAUUGAAUAACCAAGUUGGAAAACAUUUUUUACUUUAAAAGCACUUUUGCAAUUUAUUAGAAUGAAAAAGAUUUAAGAAAGAGUAAUUUCUUUAGAUCAAUUUAGACAAAUUCAUGGCUAAAAAAAGUAAUUAAAAAAAAAAAAAAAAAAAAAAAAGCAUUUGCUCAUUAACCGACAAGAUGCUCUCUUUAGAAAAAGUUUAAGAAAAAUAAGAGUUUAGAACAAUAUAUUUUUUCUUUGAAAGAUAUUGCCAAGUUUGAACAAAACUUAAUAAAUUAGUGAGUUUAAAAUGGUGCAAAAGAAGUGUUUUAAAAAAAAAAAGCUAAAGUAACUAUAAAGGUUGUUUCUAACUAAAGGUACCCAAACCCAAACAUCUAUAUUAAGUCAACUAUUAUGAAUCCGAACUAGAAAUAUAUAAAUCACACAAGCAAGUAUAAAUUGAAAGAAAACACAAACAAAUAAUGCAAAAUGUAAGUAGCGAUAGGUGACUCCAAGAUAGGACCACUUGUUUUGCUUGCAAUUUCGAAUGGUCAAAGAUGUAGUGAAGAUUCCAUGUGCGGGUGUGAGGAUAAUGUUGAGUCUAUGAGACUCGGUAAUUUGCUAGAGUCUUGAAUCAAAGACUCCAUUUUGCUCCAAAGUGUACAUGUAAAUAAAGAGAGGGUAAAAAAGAAUUGGUAAGACAAUUAAACCUUACUCGAUAUCGAAUAAACUAGAAAUAGAAUUGAGUUAAAUAGCAUAACGAAAAUACCAUCCAAAACAUGAAAACAUGCAAAUGCGAAACAAAUCUCAAAGCAAACUACUACGACGCCUUUAAGGCACAAAAAAAAACAAUACACAACCCCUCAUAUUUAAGCUACAAACGAACUACUCGUUAAAGACUUGAAUUUAAAAAAAAUACUUAUGCCAUAAGUUUUCCAGAUUUAUACAUGCUGUAAUACUAUUACUUAAACUAAAAAAAAUAAAAACAAAAUACAUACACAAUACAAUUAACAAAAGAGCACAAAACAUAAGUUAGUACUUGUAUGCAAAAAGUAAGUUGCACGAGAAUUCCUACAGACGUAACUCUUAAUAAGAGAGCACUUAGUUGCUAACCAUUUUUUAUAUAUUUUACAGUCAUCUUCCUUAAGCAUGCUAUACAUAGGAAAAUAUGAACAUUGAAAUUUUAACAUAUAAGCACACGAAAUAAAUCAUUUAAACUGAGAACGAAACAGCAACAACACAACCCAUAUAAAUCGAACUAUGAGACUAAGUCAUUAACAAAAUAUUUAAAUCCAAAGCUAAGCCAUUCUUUAAACUCAAGGUCUAGUAAAUGAGGGGAAAACAAUUUCUGAUCUGUAUAAAUCUCAAAAGGAUACAAACACAUUUUUUAACAAUCAACAUAUAAUAAUAGCGAACUAAAUAAUAUUAGUUCGAGUAGAAUUUGAGAGAAACUUAAAAGCUUAUAAGAUACAGGGUGCGAAGCUGCUGUAGUGUAUCCGCGAUUAGAGCUUAUAUUUUUUUAAAAAAAUAAUGAUAUGGUCUGUACCAUAUUUUAACUAAAACAAAACAAAUAUUAUAUUCCUUGAACACGUUUUUACAUAGGAAUGCAUACAUAUAUCAAAUGAUCAGAACUUGGAGUAAGAAUUAAUGUAUAUGACCUAAAAUACAACCAUUUCCAUGUAAUAAAUAAAUUUAUAUCUCAAACGAAAACACAAAUACAAUUAUCAAAUAACUUUGAAUACAGUUAAACUAGGCAGGAAUUACUCUCUACAUACAAAUUUGUUAGAGUAACAUAACAUUUUCCCACAGAAACAAAACAGAGGAAGAAAAAGAGAAUGUCACCUGCUAUAGGGCAGUGAACGGGGCUGUUUCGAUCAAAUGUCUAUAUUCGAACAAUAACGAACUCAAGGAAGCUUGAAACUUGAGUUUCGAUCGAGAUUUAAAGAAGGAUGCAAAGACAAUAUUUUAGAAAAGAAAAUAGUAGUUAAACAAUGCUAUGGUGCAAGGAAAAGCUUUUUAAGAAUGAAUGCCAAGGCUUCUAUGGAGGCUGAAAAAUCCUCUUUUUUUUUUUUGCUAAAGAUAUAAGGAUGUAUUUAUAGAAAAAAUUAGGGUUCUUCAUUGUGUUGAGCGGGAAUAGAUUUUGAACUUUCAAAUUAGUCAAAAAGUCUUCAAAUCCGACCGUUUGAAGCUUGAAACAGACAUCACGUGAUACCUUGGAGAAAGAGACAAGUUUUGCUUGGAAUGGACCAAGCAAAGUCUGUCCAUGGCUGAAGAGAAACGAAACUUUAGCCAAAAAUGGAGGAGAAAAGACAGACAUCGAGUAAAGAGAAAAGACCUAAAUGAUUUCGGGUCUUGAGCCAUUUUACUGAUGAAUGAACAUUGGGUUGGGCUGGUGCUAAAUUUUCUUUUGUGGGCUGAUCUGAAAGUUCCGUUGGGCCAUAUUUUGGAGUGGAUUUGGGCUCGUUUUGCUGGACCAAUUUUGGGCUGAAUUUUGAAGGUCUUUUCUCUUCUUUCUUUGUAUUAUUUUGGGCUUCUAAAUUAAUAAUUAAUACAAUAUCUAUUAUGAUAUGAUAACAACUAGAAAUUUACAUAAUAAAAAUAUCACUAAUAUAAAAUAUAUAUACGAAAUAUUAAAUAAUAAUUAAUUUAAUAAAUACGAAACUAGAAAUAAGAUGACGACAAUUGGUUAUUUAAGAAAAGAGAUGUAAAAAAGUGAUAAUAAUCAUUUCGAUAAUAAAAACCUAUAAUUUUAGUAGAUUAAUAGUUGUAAUAGUAAAAAUAGUUGUGAAAAGAGAUAAUUCGAUACAUUAUUAAUUUAGAAGCUUGAAAAUGAUAAAUUAGAAGAAAGGAGGGUCAAAAUUGGGUGUCAACAAUGUUCCCUUUGUUGUUUUCCUAAUAUUGGUAGUUGAGAUAUUGUUAGGAUAUUAUAGUUUUUCGUUGUUACAGGUUGAUCUUGCUUGGAAAAAACCAUGAAAUCAAAAAAUUAGGGCUAUUUUGGGUUUAAAAUUGGGGAAGAUGACAUAAAUUGAUUAUAUAAUUAAUAAUAAAGAAAGCUAAUGACACGUGGCACUUUUAAAUUGGUCCAUGGCAGUGAAAGCACGGAAUGACGCGCCUCACGUGCAUGGUAACAACCCAGACGAGGGAAUGGGUCAAAAUGGCCCAUUUACAAUGAUAUUAAAUAGUUCUGUGGGGUGAUAGGACACUUUGAAAGUUAAGAUGUCUUUAUGCAAAUACGGGACAACUUUGAUUGUGUCUUUAUGUCUUUUCUCUUAAAAAUAUUUAAAUAAUAAUAAUCAAUUUUAAAAAAUAAUUAAAAACCCAUCUUCCUCAACCAUCCCCCUCCCACCCCUCUCUCCUCCGUCUGAACCCCUAAACUCAUCAAAAUACAAUAUUUUAAAUCUCUUUGACCAUUGACCGAACUUAUGUAGCAUUGAUAAUGCAGAGUUGGAAAAUUACGUGAUUACACGCUUUGACAACGAGUAAAUAAGGUAUUUUAAAUUAAAAAUAUUUAAAUAAUAAUAAUCAAUUUUAAAAAAAUAAUUAAAACCCAUCUUUCUCAACCAUCCCUCUCCCAUCCUACCCCACCCCUCUCUCCUUCGUCUGAACCCCUAAACUCAUCAGAACACAAUAUUUUAAACCCCUUUGACCAUUGACCGAACUUAUGUAGCAUUGAUAAUGUUGAGUUGGAAAAUUACGUGAUUACACACGUUUGACAGAGUAAAUAAGAUAUUUUACAUUAAAAAUAUUUAAAUAAUAAUAAUCAAUUUAAAAAGGAUAAUUAAAAAUGCAUCUUCCUCAACCAUCCCUCUCCCACACCACCCUACCCCUCUCUCCUCCGUCCGAACCCCUAAACUCAUCAGAACACAAUAUUUUAAACGCCCUUGACCAUUGACCGAACUUAUGUAGCAUUGAUAAUGUUGAGUUGGAUAAUUAUGUGAUUACACGCGUUGUCAGCGAGUAAUAAGGUAUUUUACAUUAAAAUUAUUUAAAUAAUAAUAAUCAAUUUUAAAAAAUAAUAAUUAAAAACCCAUCUUCCUCAACCAUCCCUCUCCCACCCCACCCCUCUCUCCUCCUAUUUGUUUUUUUUUUUCUAAAAAAAAUUUUGGGCUUUGCCCGAGGAGAUGUAUGGGGUGCAAUUGUCUCUCUUUCAAGUUUAUUAAUAAAAAAAAAUACCACAAUUGUUUUAAAAAAAAAAAAAAAACACCACCCCUCUAUCCUCCGUACCCCCCCCCCUCCCCGCCUCUCCUCUUCUUCUUCUUCUCUUGGAAUUUCAUCCACCACACUCACUCUCCUUCAUCCACCUCCUUCUUAACCCACACUUCUUUUUCAUUACAAAUCAACCGUCCACCCUAACCACUUAGUCUAAAAGUCUUUUAGAUUCUAGCUUUUUAGUCUAAAAGUAUUGAGAUAUUAUUAGUUUUAUUUGGCAUCAAAAAAGAGGUCUAAGUAUGGAUUAACACGAAAGAUAAUGGUGGAUAUUGAAAAAUUAAAACUCCAUUGAUAAGUUAGAGAAAGCUUGAAAUUUAUAAGAUAUAUUAGAACUAUAUAAAAAAAAAUAUCACAUAUACCAAUCAAUUGUGUAUACUACAAACAAUUAUACUUCUCUUUCAAAAUUUAGUUACUCAAUAUUACUUGCAAGUUUUAGUAGCAUCUAUAUCAUUUAAUUUUUUUGUACUAAUUAACACAGGACACACAUGCAACGCACGUGCCUAGAGACUAGUUUAUAUAUGUACAUAAACUUAGAAAAUAUAUCCAAUAUAUACAUCUUAAUUUUUUGUCGAGGGGGUUCGGGUGAACACUCUCCCUCCCUUGAUUGGCUCAUUGAUACUAUUAUUGUUAGUGCAAGAGGAAACUGCUAGGGAAGUUGCCUCUGAUAUAUGUUGGAGCAGAUGGGAUAUAAGAUUUUGAUUUGAUGGGUUCAAUUUUUAGGUUCUUAUCAUUGAGCCCGUUAUACUUUGAAAUUAUGGGUUCAUAUUCUAUUAUUAAUUAAAAUUUUAGUGAUUUUUCACAUAUACUUUUAUGAUCUGUGUCGAAAAUGCAAAUCUUAUACUUAUAUUCGCCAUCCGCCCUGUGUAACUGAACAUAUUACUGUUUGUCUUCCAUGUAACAGUGAUCCUAAAACCAUUCCUUAUUUAUGAUCUGUAACUAUGGUCGUUAUCUGCUAAUAGCUUCGGAUGUUCUUGUCCUCUAGGCUAGUUCUUGGACCUGCAUUAUAAAUUCACUACUACUAUAUCUUUCUUUCUUAUUGCAUUUGGGAUUUGCAGAUUGCUCUUUGUUAUCAAAACAUUGCACAAAUCUCUCAUGUGGUCAUUCACAUAUAACCCCAUUAUUUCAUAUUCUAUAUAAGAAUUAUGUAAUCAAAAAUAAUUUAGCAUCUUAUUUGUAGAUUUUGUUCUGUUAUUGUAACAUAACAAAACUACCUCAUUUGAAUUUCUUGAAAACGGAUGCAUGUAUUGAAUUCUUUCAUGCCACACAUAUUUCUUUAAAUUAUUCCAAACAUAAGUACAACAACAACAACAUAAGUAGUGAUGAAAAAACAAAGUGAACAUAAAAUUGCUAAAGAAACAACUAAGAAAAAGUAAGGGUUGAAUCCAUCUAAUGGAAUCCUGGAGGCCACCUCUUGAUGCUAAUACAAAGCGCUUUCAAUGGUGAUGAAAGAGGAUUAUGGCCAAGAGUGACAAAGAAAUAGUGUAAUCGGAUUUAACUAACCCUAAAGCUAGCUCAUCUCUGUACAAUCUCUUGUAGGGCCCUAUUCAGGUGUGCCACAAUUAUGUUAGCAGCUAUAUAUCUCAUCUUUCUUCAAUUGUGCCUGACAUUGUUUCAUGAACUGGAGUUCCAGGUUCUGUUGUAGAGAACCCUUCAGAAGCAGGGGAUUCUCCUAGGCCAUCGGAGAUUCCGAUUUCUGGGCUUUCCAAAGGUAGGUUGGGCGAUAAUUCAAUAGAAGCAUCACUUUCUGCAAACACUGUAGCCGUUAGGCUUUCAUUCCCUUCAGAUGGCUUUUUUGACAUAGAAUUAGAGUCGUCUCUCUUUAAAUCAAAGACUUUUGCUAUUGCACAAAGCUUUUUUCCUAUUGAAUCAUCAGUGACUAAGAUUUCUCUAUUCUGAUAAAGGAAGAUGAGGAAGAAUAGGAGAAGAGAGGAGCCUGCUGACACACCAUCUUGCUUUGGACAAUCUGUUUCAAUAUCUUUCUGUGGACAAUCUGUUUCAUUCCCAAACCAUUUCUGAAUUAUGUUAUUCAUAGUCUCUCCCUCUAUCACCUUCAAGACUGCUCUUGAGACGUCAGGUACCAAAGGAGAUCCUUUUGGAAAUGCCUGCAACAAGUUGUGGGAAAAUUAAAGAUUAGAUCAUUGAGUAAACCACUAACCACUCUAAAACAAAUGUUAACACUUGCUGAAACAUCAGUUAAGUACAACAAUCUUACAAAUCCAAAGCCGGCAGCCUUGUAUGUCGGACCAACCAUAAUAUACUUCCUGCAGUAUUUGUUCAGCAAGAGUCUGAGAUAAGGUAGUUCAUCAACAAUUGCACCAACACCUCCAUUUUUACUACCUCUUGAGAGUGCAUCAUUAUACUCUUCCAAUGUGCUGUAACUCCUAAAUUUGGAGCUGUCAAAUUUCAUGCGUGUCAAGACGUCUUUGACAAAGGAACCUUUUUUAUCAGCACAAAUCUUGAUAAGUUACUUGUUAUCUUCUCUUCUGCAACAACCAGUCAUAUAUAGGAUUUGUUGAGAAACAAGGAGAAAUCUUAAACUUUUGGUCUAUAAUUUGAUUUGAGUUAGAGACUUACUAUGAGCAAAAACGAGAGUUGAGAAGGAAAACCAAAAUAUUAUCCCAACUUGCUUGCGUUUGGGUCCUCGAAAAUCUUUGUUUACACGAUGUUCGAGUACCCAAACCACAAAACCAAUGAAGACGAAGAAUGCUCCGGUUGCUAUCCACAGCUCGGCCUUUAAAGGUUUCAAGAAGAUCCAAGCGUUCUUCCUAUCAUCAUUCCUUAAAGGCACAACUGCAGAAAUACCCGACUCUGAAUAAGGUAAUGUGAAAUCUACAUACUCAGAUCGGCUUGCUAAAAUGGUAACAUCACCUACAACUGCAUCAUAUUCCUGGUUCAAGCAAACAUUGAUUAUUUAAGUAUUUAUUGUUGGUCGCUAAAGCAGAACAUAGAUAAGAAGUCCAAAAAAGGAGCAUGUAAGUGAGUUAUUCAGCUGAAGAGGUUAAUUUUACCUUAGAAGUGAUCUUCUGAACAAGAUCAUCAUAGUUUUAAGAAGUAGGGCUAUGUGCUAUUGGAAAUAGAAUAAAUUCGUAGGGGACAGCAUAUGGCAAAGAUAGGAUGACUUCUUUGAAGACAUCUGGAACAAAACCAGUUACAAUUACUUCUUGUGUCGUUGGAUUUGUUUCCACUUGAAUGAAUUGCUCCAGCCCGUCAGGAACUCCGACCCUUAACUUCUUCCCACUUGUGGGUAUUUCCCAGCCUCUCGGAACAAUAGUAGAUUCACCAGGCCAAAUGAUGACCCCUAGUUGCUUAUUAUUAGUUUUAGCUGUUUUACCAUUCAUCUUGAGUUUAUGCGAAAUGCCAUCCUUCUCUGUCCAGAAUCCAACGAUUUUCUCUCCUUUCCCAAUUAUAUUCACAAUCUGAUAUGGGGACGGCUGCAGUUCUCUAUCAACGAUACGGAAAUCACCACUUAGUCCUGGUUUUAGCUCUGUGUUUUGCAUAGAGUCAAUGAGCAGAGAUCCCACUUCUGAGGUUCCAAGUGCAUCUAGGUCUGUUAAGUUCUCUCUAGUGUCUGGUUCUUAAUUUUGGGAUAGCAGUAGUGCCCACUUUCUCUACUGCUUCUGCUAAUAAGGUGAUGCUAUCAUAUGCCAUAGCCCGAAAACAUUGAGUUCUACUUGGUCCAUGUCUGGAUAUUCUUGACGAAAUCUCUUUCUCCAUCUCUUGGUGAACAUGUCAAGCGCAUUUGGAGUCCAGAAAACUCGUUAGCACAUCUGUGAUGAUCCAUGCAUAUCCACUGCUCAUCAUCCCAGCUUCUUUGGCCUUGAGGAAAAGGCGUGAGGCAAGAUAUGGUUGUAAGUGCACAAUGAACACUGUGGUUUGCUUUGUAUUCAAAUUGUGUAACUCCUUGAGGAUUUGAUCAUCACUGGCUGAAGGAGAAAUAGCACUUUUAUAGGGGACUAAAGUGUUGAUUUCCAGUAAGGCAUCAGUCAGAUGUGGAACUAUCCCAGUUCCAAUGGAGCUAUCCUCGUGGAUGAUUACAACCUUCGUCCAAUUAUAGUUUUUAACAAUUGCUGCAAUGGCUUUAGUCUGGCUGGAAGAAGGAAGUGCUCCUCUGAUGAAGAAGGGAUUUUCCUUGACUGUAAGUAAAGGACUUGUUGCUGGAGAAAUGAUAGGGACUUUUGUUCUGUUCCCUAUGUCAAUCACAAAAUCAGUUUGUGUAGACAUUUGUGGCCCAAAGAUAGCUUGUACUUGGACAUCCUUUAGCAAGUAUAUGGCUGCGUAUACACAAUCAGACUAUAAGAAAUCGUUCCAAAGUGAAAAACAGACGAAAAGAGAGAAUGAUAUGCUAGUUUAACAGAAGUAAAUCAUGGAUCAGAAUAUACCAGCGGAUGCUGCUUCAACAUCAUCUUUCUUUGAAUCCCUGAUAUGAGGAACUAUCCUUAUGGCACCGCGACUAGUGUUGGCAUGAUAAUCUGCAAGAGCUAGUAAGAUAGAUAUGUGCAUUACUUUUCCCACAUCUGUUUCCAGAUCAAGAAUUAUGCCCACAUCCACCUUUACAGCACUAGUGUUAUUAUCUUCACCUCUUAUUCCAAUUACAUAGUGGCAAAAGCUAAUGAUGGAAACAAGUUGAAUGAAAAUAAUUAGGAAUUUGCAUCUUGGAUUAUGCAUUUGAAAAACUCUUGUAGAAAGUAAUAUGAGUGUUGGGCAAGAAGCAGUUGUGCUUGUGCAAGAUUUAUAACCACCAUUCAGAGAUGUGUUUAAAGGUAUCUUAACUAUAACUUUUCUACAAUUAAAUGAGAGCAAACCUCAUAACUGCAGAAAGAAAAGUCAAAGUUUUCAAAGAAUUACAAAUGGUUUAAAAUAUACUAGUUUGAUUAUUAAAGAAAGAGUACUUUGCACACUUGUUAGACCACAAGCUAGUAAAGCCUCCUCAGUUUUGACCAAAUCAAUAAAUGACUAAAUGAACAUAGUGACAAAAUUGAUUUGUACUCAUUCUCCCAAUACCCAAAGAAGUUUUUGUAUUCAUUGGAUGACUAUCUAGAGGCUACUAAAAGGACUUCCCAUAUUUUGGCUAAGUCAUGUUGAAAGUUGAGUGCUAACUCAGUUACAAAUAAGUAGAAGAGGUCAGUUUCUAUGACUUGGACAUUGGAAAAGGGCAGCUAUGACUAGUAAUCUUUAGUUUACUUAGACGGUUUCAGUUUAGAAUUGGUCAGUAGUAUAAAACUUUAUGGUGGUAGAGGCACAACUUGUAGGGUUGUUCCGGGUUAUCGUUAAUUAAAAAAUCAAAUCAAACUUGUAGGGUUGUUUGGUUAGGUUUUAAAUUUUGAAAAUCAAUACUAUUUGGUUUGGUUUGGUUUUAAAACUGUAAAAAUAAUCAAAUUGAACGUGUAAUUAUAAUAAUUCUAGUAUUGCUUGAUUGAAUCCACAGUAACUUUCAUGUGUAUUGUUCAUGUACUAGGUGUCUGUGUUUAUAUAUAUGUCUUCAAAAAAAUUAUUACUUCCAAAACAAAAAAACAAAAAAAUUGAACCAAACCGACAAUUAUUUUUUUCAUUUGGUUUUAGAAUUUAGAAACCGACUAAAUUGAUCUGGCUUUGAUUUUAGCCAAUAAUCAAUCCAAAUUGAACCAUGAACACCUCUAGGCACAAAUAUAACUUGGUAUGUGAAGAAUUACUAUAAUACCUUUCCUUUAACUUUUUUUUUUUAAAAAAAAAUCUCCAUCCUCCAUUUUUUUCCCUUCACUUUUAAAAAAAAAAAAAAAAACCUCUAUUGGGAAAUUUUUCAAAUCAGUUUUUUUUACUCAUGAGCUCUAUUCCUUUCCCUUUUAUAUUUUUUAUAAUAUAAAAUAUAAGAUAAAAUAAAGAAUUUUUUUAAAAAGAAAUGAGAAAAAAAAUGAUGAAGAUGAGGGGUGAGGAGCUAAAGGAGAGAAGAAAGAUAGAACAUAAGAUGAGAAAGGUAGGGUCCCCAUAUUUUCUUUAUCAAAAAGUAACUUCUUACCUACCAAAGUCAUAUUUAUGCCUCUACCACCACAAAUUUUUUCGUAUUAACUUGCUUGCAAGUUGCAAAACCAAACAAAGCAAGCAUACCCAAAUGGAGAUGGAAUCUUGGAAUGAGGAUGGUUGGGUAUACAUGUAGGUGUCAAUGUCAUUGUCUCAAUAUAUAUAUAUAUAUAUACUCCCUCCGUCCCAAUUUAUGUGGCACCCUUUUUUUUUAGUCUGUUCCAAAAAACAAUGUCAUCUUACUAUAAUUAGAAACAAGGGAAAAGACUCAAAUAUGCUAUUGAAAUUUGAGAAAAGACUCAUUUAUGUCAUCCGUUAAAAGUUUGGUUCAUCUAUGUCAUUUUCGUUUGAGAAAAAACUCAUCCAUACCAUUAGUUGUUAACUAAAAAUAAUUUUGGUUUUGUAAGAUCAUUUUAUACACAUGGUCAAUUAUGAUUCGGCCAUGUCAUCAAUUAAAUCAUUUCUAUAGAAGAGAAAAUGUUCAAAUAUGUCAUCGAACUUUGAGAAAAGACUCAUUUAUGACAUCCGUUAAAAGUUUGUCUCAUCUAUGCUAUUUCAGUUAAUAAAUAAUGGCAUGAAUGAGGUUUUUCUCAAAUGAAAAUGGCAUAGAUGAGCCAAUUUUUUAACGAAUGACAUAUAUGACAUUUCUCAAAGUUCGAUGGCAUAUUUGAGUUUUUUCCCUAUAAACAAUUUCACUUAAAAUUUACUGUUAUCCUUAAUGAAAUUAUUUACAAACACACAAAUAUCUAAGGAUUGUUUUAGAUCACAAGUUUAAAAGUCUUUUUAAAAUAUAUAUAUAUAUAUAUAUAUAUAUUGUGUCAAGUUAAACAGUGCCACAUAAAAUGAGACAGAGAGAGUAAUUGUUAAUGUAAGAGGAAGCUGCUCGGGAAGUUACGUGUAUGAUGUUGAAGUUAUUUGACAUGCAGUUGAGGUGAUCCUAUAAUCUUCCAUUAUUUAUGACUAGUAAAAUCACUGAAUUUAUAAAAUAAUACUUAAAACAUAUGAGUCAUUAAAACUAAAACACUAUAUUAUCUUACAUAUAAGAUUACAUAUAACAAACAUUAAUAAUGUAAGUAAUUUCUUUUUUGCAUAUGUUAACAAAUUUUUGAAUUUCUUCCUGAGACAUAUAUCACAAUUGUAAAAUCUAUACAACUUAAAUGUGUUCUUGUUCUUACGAAACGCCUUUGUGUAUAUAUAUUCUUAUUUAUUCUCUCUUUUUUCCUUUUAAUUGAUGAUUAAAUAACCAUUAAUUUAUUAUUUCCUAAAUAAUUCAUUUAUUAGAUGUUCUUGAGUUAUGUGAUAAUGACAAAUAAUAGUAUAGAUCUUUAAGGAAUUUUUUUACUGUACCUUCAACAAUUUCAUGAUCAGUAGAGAAAACUUGCAUGAAUACUCAAUUAACAUGUGUUGUUUAAUCUGUACUAACAAAUACAAUUAACGUGUGUUGUUUAAUCUGUACUAACAAAUACUUAUAACAAUAACUUUGCAGAAACAUAAACACAAGUUUAAAACAUGUACUCAAAAACAAUAAUUAAUAACAUAAGCAUAAAUUAAUGACUGUAAAAAAAUAUACCAGGAUCUGUAAUAAUAGGAUGAAACAUAAAGGAAAAAAUUGUACACGAAUAUUUAAUUGUGCAGGUUAAGAAGAAGUUCAAAAUUUUCGUUUUUUUAAAAUGAGAGGAAAUCACUCUAUUUAUAGCUAGACAACAAAGGGUAGUGUGAGCAAAUGUUUAUUGUGUCUUAUCGGAAAGGUCACAACUCUUUGGAAAAGUUACAAACCCUUUGGAAAGGUCAUAACCUUUCAUAAAAGACACAACUUUUCAUAAAAGUCGCAACUCUACAUAGAAGUUACAACUUUUCAUAAAAGUCGCAACUGUUCAUAUAAGUCGCAAUUUUUCAUAAAAGUCACAACUUUUCAUUAAAGUCGCAAAUUUUUAUAAAAGGGGAAGGAUAGUUUUGUAAAUAUAUUAAUUAAAAAAGGAAUCCUGGUUUGUGAUGGCGCCACGUAGGCAGGCCUAGGGUUCUCUUUUAUAUAUAUACUAGUUUCUGAACACGUGCGUUGCACGUGUUUCAAACAAGUAGUAUACACGAUAAAAGUUAUAUUAAAACCAUAGUGUAAUCAAUAACGAAAAAAAGGUACAAACUAAAAUUGAUGAACGUAACACUCAUCCAAUUUGAAUGACUUAUUCGUUUAGCGAUAAAUAAUUAAUUACUAUCAGAACUACAAAAUUGAAUAAUUAUAUUUAGUUAGAUAAGUAAAAUGUAUAAAAUGAGUCACAUUUUAAUGUUAUUAGGUGCAAAUAUUUUAUUUAUAAAGAAGUAUUAGUAUUAAAUAUUUGCACCUAAUAACAUUAAGUAUUAAAUUUCAAGACAUAAUAUUUGAAUAAUGAAUUGUGAUGCUCAUACCAAAUAGCAAAACAAUGAAUCUAGAAAAUACUUUUAAAACAAAAAAACUUAGAUAUGAUAUUUAAAAUAUUUAAAACUUCUUGUUAAAAUUUACAAAAACGCAAAUAAUAUAUGCUUAUUAAGAAUUUAAAACUAAUUGUUAUAAUCUUAACAAUUGUGCAUGGAAACAAAAGCACCCAAAACAAAUGAAAUUCCAAUACAUGUGAAAUCAAAGUAUUGUAAUUCUAAGUAACUAAAUAUGCCAUGCAUACUUCUCAUCUCUUCUUUUAUGCAAACUAUUAGAAGGCAUAAAAAAACAAUGAAAAUCGAAGAUAAAAUAAUUUGCAUUCAAUCUUAAAAAGUUACAAAGAGGAGAUGGGGAAAAUUAGUAAAACUCAUUUAACCUUUAUAUAAUGUUUUUCCCAGUCCUUUGAAAUUUCAUUUCAUUUAUUUACUAAUGAAUUGAUUUACUAAUUAAUAUUCAAUUCAACUUUUCAACUUCUUUGUACUUACUGUAGCAAUGAAAGGUUGGCUAUUGGUUAACGUAACAAUUAAAUAAUUGAACCACCAAUGUUUCAUAUAAAGUUAUGGUUAUUAUAAGUAUUAAAUGCAAACAUUUUCUUUUUAUUGUAUGAAAUGCGUGUAUUUGUAUUUUUAUAUUAUAAACUUUUUGAAAUAAUAGUUGCUUGAAGGUUAAAAUGAUGUUUAACUUUUAAUAGGCGAUUUGGUAAUUCAAUUUUUCAUUUGGAAAGUUUCUACUUGAUAUAAUAUGAUAAUGAUCAAAAAUUUAAUAUAAAAUGAAUAAAGCAAAGAAUAAACAGGGAAAGAAAGAAAGAUGAUUGUCAUCAAUCCCUAUUAAAUCAUUGAAUUAAGUGUGAUAAUUAAAGUAUUAUUACUCCACUUUCAAAUCAUCCGUUCAAUUCAUGUUAUUGAAAACUAAUUUAAUUGAAGAUUUAUUUUAAUUAUGGUGUAAAUAAAAAUUAGUUUAUAAAAAAUGAUUUAGUAUAAGGGCAAAAUGGUAAAUCAACUUUGAAGACAAGAGCUUCCCACUUUUAAUAAUACUAGAAGAAAAAUGUGAAUUACAUGGAGAUUUUUUUCUUGGAAUUAGUAUCAAAAUUCGCAGAUAACUUAUUUCCUGCAAAUUUUCAUAUUAAUCCCCAGGAAAAUCCCCAUGUAAUUCACCAUUUUCUUGUAGUGUUGUACCAAAUUAUAAUAAAAUAACAGUAAAGAAAAUAGGUUGUACCCUGCUUCUUGCACUUAACUUUAUCCCACGAACAAUAGACAGAAAGGUGUCAUAUAAUCCUUACAUAUCACUAUCAAACCAAAUUCUCCCAACUGACAUAUUCUCCCACAACAAUAUUAUAUUCCCUCAAGUCCAAUUUUCAUCAGUGACUCCGUUUCUAAUGUUUUCCAAUUCACUUUUUCGACCUCCUUUUCACUAUUCAUUAUAUAAUAAUUGAUAUGAAACAACCCACAAUGUAAACAAGAUUUAAGAGACGUGAUUGAUUUACUUGAGUCGCUCACGUUCUUCUUUCGUUCACGCCGCUUUCUGUUAUUCUUCUUUUCCGUUCUUUCCCUUUUCUUCUACAGAUUAUUUUCACCCUAAUUAUUAUAUGACUAAUUAUAAGAGUGGUGGAAUUGGCUCACUACUAGUUUUAAUGCUAUCUUCUUUAACCACCAACUACAUUAAUUAUUAAAACUACCCCACUAAUUUCAUAAUGUAAUUACGAAUAGUCCAAAAUACCCAUUUAGAAUCUAUCGAACGAGUCUUUUAUGAAAUAAAAAGAUCUAGUACUCAAAACGACUAAAUGGGUCGUUACACAAUGUAACUCUUUAACUUUCAAAAUGAUAGGAGGUGAAAAGGUGAAAACAUUUUCUUUUUCAAUGAAUACAUUCAUUAUACUAAUAAUUCACCAUUUAAUAAACUUCUACCUAAAAAUGUUUUUUAGCAUAAAACAUGUAGGAAGUAAUUUUAAACAGUAAAAGGUAAAGGGUUAAUUAGUUUCUCAUUUAAUUAAUUCGAUUCAUUUAUUAGUAUAGGUAAAUUUAUUAUUUAGUACCAAGUAGUAUAAGAAUAGUAUUAAGAUGAAGGGUAAAAAUGUAAUUUGAUUUUUUAGGAAUAUUUUGUAAUUCAAUUUUAUAAGUUUUGGGGCUUCCCACUUAAUAAUUAUUAUUUAUAAUAAUAAAAAAAAUUUGACUUAACACCUUUCCAUUAUUAUUAUAGAUUAUAGAUGAUAAAUAUUAAUAAAUUAGAUAUUUAAUUAGGAAUUAAUCUUAGGAAGUCUAAAAGUCAUUUAACAUUUUUAAUUUAAAACUUAUACAAUCAAAUAUUUAAAUAUUUUAUAACAAUUUAAUUAAUAGAAGGGGUAAAACUGUAAUUCAACUUUCAACUUUUUUUGUUCAUGCUUAUAGUAAUAUAUAUGAUAUGAUAUAUAUAUAUAUGAUUAUUUACUGUGGUCGUUUUCUGAUAUGAUCACAAUAAGAUAUAACCGUCUAUUAUCUUUUAAACUUGUUUUUCUUUUUAGUUUGCAAUAUAUUUUGGAUUGGUAACAUUAGUAGUAUUAAAUUGUUAACAGCACUAGUUUGCAAUAUUUUUGGUUUCUGCAAACAUUAUUAGCACAUAUUGAAAGAGAUAUAUAUGAUAUGGUUUCAUUGAAUUAUAUCCUCUACAUAAGCAGUGAAGACAAAACAAAGUACUAAUGUUAUUUAAAUUGUCUCUAAAAUUUUGAUGAUUUAAUAAACUUUGAGAUCUAAAGAACGACCAGAUUCCAAGAGAGAUUGAGAGUUCUGUUUAUGAAAAAAACAGCGGUCUAAAAGCAGCAACACCUGCUGUGGUUGGUGCACGUAUUUUGCAGCAGACAUUCAGCCAAUGGCAGGGCAUUGCUUCAAGAGUUUGGGUCCAUCCUAUAAUACACCUCUUUGACAUUGACACAAACUCAAGUUUUUGCAAUAUAAAAAUUCAUAACAGCAAAAGUCAUUCUCUCAAGGAAAUAUUUCUCGAUAAAUGAUAGAGUUAUCAUCGUUCUUAGGUGUUUUUAGGGCUUAUAUUUCUGUGCUUAUACUUGUAAGAUUUAUUCCUACGUUAUAAAGGAAUCAGAUCAUUUGAAGUUUUUUCUGAGUAUUCCGAGUUAUAGCUAGAGUUAGUUAUGUUGUAUUCUUGAAUUCAAGAUCAACUAUAGCUAGUUGAUUUAGUGGGUCAUAGAGUUAUUGCUUAGUUUUUGAGUAACAGAGUUGUUACUAUGAGGGGAAGGGAUUAAGAGUUUAAUUCCUAGGCUACAAGGGUUUGUAAUAUGAAGCUUUGCACUUUUGAUGAUAAUGGAGUUGGGUUAAAUCCUGUGAGACAGACCGUGGUUUUUCCUCCCUUGAACAAGGGGCAUUCCACGUAAAACUCUUGUAUUUGUUUUACUUUGUGUUAUUUAUUUUCCACAAUUUUUCUUUCAAGGGACUUGGUCCAUUGACCAUUAGUGGACGCAUACAUUCUAUGAGUAAUAAUAAGAUUGAAAAAGAAACCACUAAGAAAAAGUAAGGGUUAAAUCCAUCAAAUGGAAUCCUGGAGCCACCUCUUGAUGCUAAUAUUCUGGCCAAGAUCAGUAACAAAGAUAUAAUGUAAUCUGGUUUAACUAACCCUAAAGCUAGCUCAUCUCUGUGCAAUCUCAUAUAGGGCCCUAUUCAGGUGUGUCACAAUUAUGGUAGUAGCUAUAUGUGUCAUCUUUCUUCAAUUGUGUCUGUAAUGGUUUCAUGAACUGGAGUUCCAGGUUCUGUUGUAGAGAACCCUUCAGCAGCAGGGGAUACUCCUAGUCCGUCGGAAAUUCUGAUUUCUGGGAUUUGCGAAGGAAGGUCAGGCAAUAUCUCAGGAGAAGCUUCACUUGCUGCGAGCAGUGUAGGUGCAUUGCUUCCAUUGCUUUCAGAUGGCUCUUCUGACAUAGAAUUAGAGCUGUCUUUCUCUUCAUCAAAGACUUUUGCAAUUGCAGUAAGCUUUUGCCAUAUUGAAUCAUCAGUGGCUAAGAUUUCUCUAUUCUGAUAAAGGAGGAUGAGGAAGAAUAGGAGAAGAGCGGAGCCUGCUGAAACACCAGCUAUGAGGAAAAGUCCCUUAAAACUAUCUAACGUGAGGCUAUCAGAUGUUAUUGCCGUUUCAUCUUUCUGUGGACAAUCUGUUUCAUUCCCAAACCAUUUCUGUAUUAUGUUAUUCAUAAACUCUCCCUCCAUCACCUUCAAGACUGCUCUUGAGACGUCAGGUACCAAAGGAGAUCCUUUUGGAAAUGCCUGCAAUAAAAGAUUAGAUGAUUGAGUAAACAACAAAUCAUUCUAAAUAUAUAUGUUAACAGUGUCUGAAACAUCAGUGGAGUGUACAAUCUUACAAACCCAAAGCCGGCAGCCUUGUAUGUCUGGCCGACCAUAAUAUACUUCCUGCAGUACUUGUUGAGGAAGAGUCUGAGAUAAGGUAGUUCAUCAACAAUUGCACCUACACCUCCAAUUUUUUGCUUCCUCUUGAGAGUGCAUCAUUAUACUCUUCCAAUGUGCUAUAAUUUCUGAACUUGGAGCUGUCAAAUUUCAUGUGCUUUAUGAAGACGUCUUUGACAAAGGAACCUUCUUGGUACCCAACAUAUUCUCCAUUCUUGAUGAGAUCAUUGAGGUCUGUUAUAGUAGGUUGGAGCUGUUGCAGUGUCAACAUAGAUGUUAAGCUGGCUGUAUAACUUGAUGUCAGCACCAGAACCACAAAAACCCACACAAUCAGCAAAAAUCUUGUUAAGUUACUUGUUACCCUCUCUCCUGCAACAACCAGCCAUAUAUAUGAUUUGUUGAGACACAAGGAAAAAUCCUAUAUCUUUCGUAUAUAAUAAUAUGCUUUGAGUUAGUGUCUUACUAUGAGCAAAAACGAGAGUUGAGAAGGAAAACCAAAAUAUCAUCCCAACUUGGUUGCGUUUGGGUCCUCGGAACUCUUUGUUUACACGAUGUUCGAGUACCCAAACCACAAAACCAAUGAAAACGAAGAAUGCUCCAGUUGUUAUCCAAAGCUCGCUCUUUAGAGGUUUCAAGAAAAUCCAAGCAUCCCUCCUAUCAUCAUCCCUUACCGGCACAACUACAGAAAUACCUGACUCUAUAAAAGGUAAUGUGAAAUCCACAUACUCUGACCGGCUCGCUAAAAUGGUCACAUCACCUACAACUGCAUCAUAGUCCUGGCUCAAGCAAACAUUGAUUAUUCCAGUAUGUAUAGUUGAUUGUAAUAGCAGAAAAUAGAUAUCGAAGUCCCAAAAAGGGCCAUGUUAGUAAGAUAUAGAGCCAAAGAGGUUUAUUGGAACAGAGAUUAUAUAUUACCUGAGAGGUGAUCUUGUGAACAAGAUCAUCAUAGUCUGGAAGAGUGAGGGGAUCUUGUAUUGGAAAUGGAAUAAAUUCGUAAGGGAGAGCAUAUGGCAAAGAUAGGAUGACUUCUUUGAAGACAUCUGCACAGAAACCAGUUGCUGUUACUGCUUGUGUUUUUGAAUCUCUUUCCACUUUAAUGAGUUGCUCCAGCCCUCCUUUGAGAGGAACUCCAACCCUUAACUUCUUCCCACUUGUGGGCAUUUCCCAGCCUCUUGGAACAAUAGUUGAUUCACCAGGCCAAAAAAUGGCUCCUAGUUGCUUAUUAUUACACUUAACUGCUGUUUUACCAUUCAUCUUCAGUUUACACGAAAUGCCAUCCCUCUUCGUCCAAAAUCCAAUGUUUUUCUCUCCUUUCCCAAUUAUAUUCACAAUCUGAUAUGGGAUUGGCUGCAGUUCUCCAUUGAUGAUACGGAAAUCACCACUUAAUCCUUGUUUUAGCACUGUGUUUCGCAUAGAGUCAAUGAGCAGAGAUCCCACUGCUGACGUUCCAAGUGCAUCUAAGUCUGUUAAGUUCUCUCUGGUGUCUGGUUUCUUUAAUUUUGGGAUAGCAGUAGUGCCUACUUUAUCUACUGCUUCUGCUAAUGAGGUGAUGCUAUCGUAUGCCCAUAGCCCAAAAACAUUGAGUUCUAUUUGGUCCAUGUCUGGAUACUCUUGACGGAAUCUCUUUCUCCAUCUCUUUGUGUAGUUGUUAAGCUGAUUUGAUCUUGGAAUGUAAGGUUUUAUACCAAGAACACCUUGCAUUGAUGACUCGAUCACUGAAUGAUCUACCAAGUCCAGAAGACUCGUUAGCACAUCUGUGAUGAUCCAUGCAUAUCCACUGCUCAUCAUCCCUGCUUCUUUGGCCUUGAGAAAAAGGCGGGAGGCAAGAUAUGGACGCAAGUGCACGACGAACACCCUUGUUUGCUUUGUAUUCAUAUUGUAUAACUCCUUGAGAAUCUGAUCAUCAUUGGCUGACGGAGAAAUAACACUUCUAUAGGAGACUAAAGUGCUGAUUUCCAGUAAGGCAUCAGUCAAAUGUGGAACUAUCCCGAACCCAUAGGGGCUAUCCUCAUAGAUGACCACAACCUCCCUCCAAUCAAAGUUUUUAACAAGUGCUGCAAUGGCCUUAGUCUGGCUGGAAGAAGGAAGUGCUGCUCUGAUGAAGAAGGGAUUUUCCUUGACUGUAAGUAAAGGACUUGUUGCUGGAGAAAUGAUUGGGACUUUUACUCUGUUCCCUAAGUCGAUCACAAAAUCAGUUUGUGUAGACAUUUGUGGCCCAAAGAUAGCUUGUACUUGGACAUCCUUUAGCAAGUAUAUGGCUGCACAUACACAAUCAGACAAUAAGAAUUUACCCAAAGUAAGAGUUUAAUAGAAGUGAAUCAUGGAACUGAAUUUACCAGCAGAUGUUGCUUCAACAUCAUCUUUCUUGGAAUCCUUGAUAUGAGGAACUAUCCUUAUGGCACCGCGACUAGCGUUGGCAUGAUAAUCUUCAAGUGCUAGUAAGAUAGAUAUGUGCAUUACUUUUCCCACAUCUGUUUCCAGAUCAAGAAUUAUACCCACAUCCACCUUUACAGCACUAGUGUUAUUAUCUUCACCUCUUAUUCGAACCACAUAGUGGUAAAAGCUAAUGAUGGAGAUAAGUUGAAAUGAAAAGAAUUAGAAAAGUGGCAUCUUGGAUUAUGCAUUUGAAAAAACUCUGGUAGCAAGUAGUCUGAGAGAUGGGCAACAAGCAGUUGUGCUUGUGCAAGAUAACCACACAUUCAGAAUGACAAUUUUCCUAUAAUUAAUAAGACCAAACUCCAUAAAUGAAGAAAGAAAAGUCAAAGAACAAAUGGUUGAAAAUCAAGUAUUCGUUUGAUUAUUGAAAGUGAGGACUUUUCACAUAUGCUACAACCGCACAGCUAGUAAGCAUAUUACCCCUCAGGUUUGACUAAAUAAAAAUUUGACAAAAUUGAUUGGUACUCAUUCCCCAACACCCAAUUACUUUUUGUGUGUACUAUCUAGAGGAUAUAUUCAAGGGAACUUACAUGAAUUCAACUAAUUUAGGAGUUAAUUACUUAAAUACAUUGUAGUUUGCAAUAUUACGUAUUUUACUAGAUUUUGGUAUGUCCAGAUACAUUCAGAUACAUAUAUGUGAGGUUACUUAGGAUCAAAAUUAGGUGUAAUUUGCUCUAGAUGCAUUGUAUCUAAGUGACUUUGCAUGUAUCUGGGAUACAUAACAAAUCUCGCUCGCCUCUCUCCCAUCUCUCACUCUCCUAUGUAUCUGAUAUUCCAUAUACAUGUGAAUCACACCAGAUACAUACACAUAAAUGUAUCUUAUGUGUAUAUAGUGUGAUUCGCAUGUAUCUGGGAUACAUAACAAAUCCCGCUUGCCUCUUUCCUCAUCUCGUUCCCCUAUCUUCCUAUUUUUGUGUAUCUGAUGGCAAAAAUUCAUGUAGCCAAAUGUAUUUUCCUCAAUAUAUGAUAGGAAACUCUUAAUUAGUGAUAGUAUACGAAAUAUUUUAAAAGUAUAGAAUAUAAUAGUAUAUAUGAUAGUGAAGUAUGUCUAAUGAUAUAGUUUUUCUGUAUUGAAAGGACUUCCCAAAUUUUGGCUGAGGCAUAAAAAGUUGACAAAUUUAGCUCAGUUACAAAUUCCACAAUUAAACCAAUAAGUAGAAGAGACCAUUGUUUUCCAACUUGGACAAGGCUAGAUACGACUAGUAAUCUUUAGUUUACGCGUUUUCAGUUACUAGUCUUUGGACACGUGCGUUGCACGUAUAUCCCAUAUUAUAUGGUUGCAUAAUAUAUGUCUAUAGUUACAAAUAUAUGUAUAAAAAAAAAUUGAUUGUGAUAUAAAUUGGAAAACAUGUAUAAGAUAAGAAAUCAAAACAGAUACCCUCAAAUUUCAAACUAUAAGCAUAAUAAGAAUAUGUAUUUCUAAUGAGUUUAAUCAAUCAUACCUUGCAAUAAUCUCUGCAAUUCAUUGAGAAACUUUCAAUCCAUACAUCAACAUUCAAUCGUGUAUAUAUAAAGAAAACUUGAAAUGCAUAACAACAAUUAUAUCUAUAUUUUUUAAAACACUAUAAAGUCAUUUUUUCUUUUUGCAUUAUAAUAUGGAUUGCACACAAUUUCUAUUAAAAAAAAGAAAGACAAAAUUAGGAAAAAUCGUAUCAAUAAAUUGGAAUGAAAAAUGUAAAAUUGUAAUAAGAGGAAGAGAAGAAAAAUACAGUAGAAUAUAUUACCUAACCAUGAAUAAGGAAGUAUGUUGAGUAAAAGAAGAGUAAUGCAAAAGUGUGAACUGAUAUAUGGAGGAAAUUGACAAAUAUAAUAAUCUAUAUUGAAUAAUGAAAAACAACUCUUCAAUUUCUGCAAAAAUUUUAUAACUACGAGCUCAAAAUAAUAUAAAUUUAUUAAUUUAAUAAAUGACAUAAAUAAAUAAAUAACAUAUAUUGUGUGUAUGUGUAGUUAAUGGGGUAGUGAAAAAGACUCUUUCUGAAAUUAUUUUUAUCUCUUUAAAGUAAUUUUGAACUUUUGAUAUUAGUGCUAUAGAAAAUCAUAUAAAGUCAUAAGCCACUGCAAGUUUUUAUAGUAAUUAUCUUAUUAAAUUAUAUACCUAUUAUUAUUUUUAAUUAUUUAUAAUCAUUCCGAAAAUGUAUAAAUUAAUUUUGAAAAGCUUGUAAAAUGAGAAAUUAUUAUUUCUUAUCAUUAUUUUAGCUAUUAUUAACAUUUAGUAUGACAACAUUUUAAAAAAGCAGCUUCCUUUAAAUAUUAAUUGUUUCUAAAUUAACAUAGCCAAGAAUUUAAAAUGUUGUGACGUUUUGUUUAUCUAAACACGCAGAAUUUUGUUUUUGAACCUGGAACAUGUAAUUAAGCCUUGGGUGAAUUAUAAUUUUAUUUUUACUAUUUAAUUAAUUAAAUAAUUUGUAACAUUUUAAUAUAAUGAAGGGGUAAAAUGGUAACUCAACUUUAAAGGUUGGAGCUUCCCACUUUUAGUAAUAUAUGAUAAAUUGGUCAGUAGUAGUAACCUAGUUUAAUUUGAUAUAAUAACAUUCAUGACAAAAUAAAUUAAAUAUGGCUAAUUAAGAAAAUAUAAUUAAAUAUGAUUAUCUUUAAUGUUAUUUAAAUUUGUAGGCGAUUUUUUUUGUAUUUUAAAAUUAAAAAAAGGCCAAAAAACCCACAAAAAGAGAUAAAUAGGAUUGAAGCCCUUAGAGAGCGUCACCUCACCGUUUUCAUAUUCAACUUUAUUAUUAUAUAUGGAUUUAGAUUUUUGCACAACCUUAAAUUUAAGGACACAUUUAGAUAUUAUAUCAAACAUUCAUUUAUUUGAAGUUGAAAUUACAUUUUACAUGAAAAUUGGAUAUUCCAUAUUCACAUUGAGUAUGAAUCUUUUUGUUUUUUUUACAAAAUUCAAAAUAAAAAAAUACAAAACAUAAACUUAUAGAUCAAAUUUUACAUUUGACAUUUGAAAGUUUUACUUUUCAUUAAACGUUUUGUUAUAGAAUUUGGAAUCGCCCUUUGAAAUUAGUAUUUAUAAAUGAAAAUAUUGAUCUAGUCCUGUUGAAAUUGUGUCUGGCCUAGUACUUUUUCUUAUUAGAGUGAUUAUUGAAUUAGGUUUAAUAUCAAUUUUCUUAAUUAGUUUUGUCAAUUGGCAGUGCUAAGAAGAUGGGAAUUUACGUUAUAUUAAAUUAUCUUUACAUUAAUAAAAAAAGAAAUUGUUGUUAGUAUUAUUUGUAAUAUAAUUAAACAAAAAUAACAAUGGGAAGAAAAUAAUAAGUAAAGAUUACACGUUGUAUUAAAAUAAUAAGUAUUAAAAAUUAUGAUAAAUUUUAUAAUAGUCAUAACAGGAAUUUACGCAAUAAUUACUAUAUUAGAAUACUAGAAAAAUUGAUAAGUUCCUCGACAUCUAAUCAUUGAUUAAAAUUUAAAUUAUUAUUUUCUUCUGCGAAAGUUUAAGAGAUUAAAUUAAUGUUUUAAAAAAUAAUAUUAAUUAUUUUCAAUGAUUAAUAAGAAAAUGUAUAUAGCAAGUACAUGUAUUAUUAUUACAUUAUUUAUAUCCACUCUAUAUUAAAUCAUUUUUCUAUUAUAGUUUGACGCAAAUUUCAGAAUGUAAAGAAUGUUUUGGAUUCGAAAAAUAAAUAUUCAAAAUAUACUAACAUGUCAUUUAAUCUUAUGAUAUUUUACAUUUCAUGUGAAAAAAAAUUAAAUAUUAAUUUUUUAAUAUGAAAAAUAUUAAUUUAUUAAUACAACAUAAAAGUAAUAAAGGACAAUAUAUAAAAAUAUUUGAAGUAUUUGAUAUUUUAUUAAAUUAAAAUAAUUCUAAAUUAAUAUAUAGCCGCGCAACGCGCGGGUACGUAUACUAGUGAAGAACAAUAAUAAAGAAGAAGACAAUUGAGUUAAUAUUUAUUUUUUCCAAGUUUAAUUUAACACAUGACCAGUUUUUAUUGGUCAGUGCUGUCAAAAAGUUGCACCCACGCGCCUAAAAUAGGUGAAAUCACGGACUCAGCCACGUAGGCCAAAAAGUGGUAAACAAUUAACUAAAAAAUAAGUUCAGGGGGGUAAUAGGACUUUAGUAAAGGUUAGGUGUGUCUCAGGGAUUUUGGGCAUAGGCUGGGGGGGUACUUAUGCAUUUUCCCUUAUGUUAAAUAUACCAAAAUGUUUUUUAAUCUUAUGACUUUAAACAUGUCACGUGAAAAACUGAAAUUAAAGUGUUGCCAAAAAAAGAAGGGUCAUUUUUUUUAAACAGACUAAACAGAAAAGUAGAUCUUUUUAAAACGGAAGGGAAGUAAUUGUUAAUGCAAGAGGAAGCUGCUUGAAAAGUUACGUAUAUGAUGUUGAAGUUGUCUAACAUGCAAUGCUGGUCCUAUAAUCUUUCAUUAUUUAUUAUCCAUGACUAUGGGUGGAUAAUAAUAGUUAUCUGCUAUGAUCAUAUAUACCUAGGGGUGGACAUAUUACUUAGAAAACUUAUGUUAGGUAAUUUUGAUUUCUAAAAAUACUAUAUGGUGUAUGCUAUUUGCAGAUGAUAGUCCUAAUCGACCAGACUCGUAAUAGAGUUAAUGUUAAGCUAGAGAAGAUAAUAAUGGCUCCCUUCUCAAAUAUUUCAUUGGUAGAAAUUUGCCUUCCAGAAUUUCAUAAUUGCAUCUGAUCCUUUCUGAUAACUCAAAGGGCAUCUUAAAUUGGUGCGGAAGUUUAAUUUUGACAUGGAACGCAAAUAUAUGCGGAAAAUUAGUAAUUCAAUAAAUAUUUAAUUAUGAAUGCAUAUUACAAAAGUGCAAGGAAUUCAAUUGUAAGAUGUUGAAGGUUAAACCCAUAAAUUCUAAAUACUAGAGACGCCUCUUAAUGCAAAUAUAAUAUGGUUUAACUAUUUUAAACCUGGCUCAUCUCUCUUAAGUUGUCCCUGUAAUGUUUUCAUGAACUGGAGUUCCAGGUUCUGUUGUAGAGAACCCUUCAAGUGCAGGGGAUGCUCCUAAGCCGUCGGAAAUUCUGAUUUCUGGGCUUUGCAAAGGAAGGUGGGGCAAUAUUUCAGUAGAGGCUUCACUUUCUGCAAACAGCAUAGCUGUUUGGAUUUCAUUGCCUUCAGAUGGCUCUUCUGACAUAGAAUUAGAGUUGUCUCUCUCUUUAUCAAAGGCAUUUGCUAUUGCAGAAAGCUUUUGCCAUACUGAAUCAUCAGUGGCUAAGAUUUCUCUAUUCUGAUAAAGGAAGAUGAGGAAGAAUAGGAGAAGAGCGGAGCCCGCUGAUACACCAGCUAUGAGGAAAAGGCCCUUAAAACUAUCGAGCAUGAGGCUAGAUGCUAUAGCCAUUCCAUCUUGCUUUGGACAAUCUGUUUCAUUCCCAAACCAUUUCUGUAUUAUGUUAUUCAUAAACUCUCCUUCCAUCACCUGCAAGACUGCUCUUGAGACGUCAGGUACCAAAGGAGAUCCUUUUGGAAAUGCCUGCCAGAAGUUGGGGGAAAAUAAAAGAUUAAAUUAUUGAGUAGAACAUAAACCAUUCUAAACAAAUGUAAACACGUUCUGAAACAUCACUGGAGUGCAACAUUCUUACGAAUCCAAAGCCAGCAGCCUUGUAUGUCGGACCGACCAUAAUAUACUUCCUGCAAUACUUGUUGAGGAAGAGUCUGAGAUAAGGUAGUUCAUCAACAAUUGCACCAACACCUCCAUUUUUACUUCCUCUUGAGAGGGCAUUACUAUACUCUUCCAAUGUGCUAUAACUUAUGAACUUGGAACUGUCAAACUUCAUGUGCUUCAAGACAUCUUUGACAAAGGAACCUUCUUGGUACCCAACAUAUUCUCCAUUCUUGAUCAGAUCAUUGAGGUCAGUUAUAGAAGGUUGGAGCUGUUGCACUGUCAACAUAGAUGUUAAGUUGGCUGUAUAACUUGAUGUCAGCACCAGAACCACGAAAACCCACACAAUCAGCACAAAUCUUGUGAAGUUACUAGUAACCCUCUCUCCUGAAACAACCAGCCAUAUAUAUGAUUUGUUGAGAAACAAGGAUAAAUCCUAAAGCUUUUUGUAUAUAAUUUGCUUUGUGUUAGAGACUUACUAUGAGCAAAAACGAGAGUUGAGAAGGAAAACCAGAAUAUCAUCCCAACUUGCUUGUGUUUGGGUCCUCGAAACUCUUUGUUUACACGAUGUUCAAGUACCCAAACCACAAAACCAAUGAAGAUGAAGAAUCCUCCUGUUGUUAUCCAAAGCUCGCUCUUUAGAGGUUUCAAGAAAAUCCAAGCAUUCUUUCUAUCAUCAUUCUUUACCGACACAACAGCAGAAAUACCGGACUCUGAAAAAGGUAAUGUGAAAUCCACAUACUUGGCUCGGCUCGCUAAAAUGGUCACAUCACCUACAACUGCAUCAUAUUCCUGGUUCAAGCAAACAACGAUUAUUUUAGUAUAUAUGGUUGAUCUCAGUCAAAGAAGAAAGUAGAUAUGGAAGUCCCGGAAAGGAGCAUGUAAGGUAUUCAGCCAAAAAGGUUAAUUCAAAAAAGAAUUGGAUAUUACCUUUGAGGAGAUCUUGUAAACAAGAUCAUCAUAGUCUUGAGAAGUGGGGCUAACUAUUGGAAAUGGAAUAAAUUCGUAAGGGAUGGCGUAUGGCAAAGAUUGGAUAACUUCUUUGAAGACAUCUGGAAUGAAACCAGUUGCAGUUACUGCUUGUGUUUUGGCAUCUAUUUCCACUUUAAUGAAUUGCUCCAGCCCUCCUUUGACAGGAACUCCAACCCUCAACUUCUUCCCACUUGUGGGUAUUUCCCAGCCUCUCGGAACAAUAAUAGAUUCACCAGGCCAAAUGAUGGCCGCUAGUUGCUCAUUCAUACUCUUAGCUGUUUUACUAUUCAUCUUCAGUUUAUGCGAAAUGCCAUCCUUCUCGGUCCAGAAUCCAAUGCUUCUCUCUCCUUUCCCAAUUAUAUUCACAAUCUCAUAUGUGUAUAGCUGCAAUUCUCCAUCAAUGAUACGGAAUUCACCACUUAGUCCUGUUUUUGGCUUUGUAUUUCGCAUAGAGUCAAGGAGCAGAGAUCCAAAUUCUGAGGUUCCAAGUGCAUCUAAGUCCGUUAAAUUCUCUCUAGUGUCUGCUUUCUUGAAUUUUGGGAUGAUGGUAGUGCCCACUUUUGCUAUUGCUUUUGUUAAUGCGGUGAUGCUAUCAUAUGCCCAUAGCCCGUAAACAUUGAGUUCAACUGGGUCCAUGUCUGGAUACUCUUGACGGAAUCUCUUUCUCCAUCUCCUCGUGUAAUUGUUAAGCUCAUUUGAUCUUGGAAUAUAAGGUUUUAUACCAAGAACACCUUGCAUUGAUGACUCAAUUACUGAAGUAUCUACCAGGUCCAGAAGACUCGUUAGCACAUCUGUGAUGAUCCAUGCAUAUCCACUGUUCAUCAUCCCGGUUUCUUUGGCCUUGAGGAAAAGGCGGGAGGCAAGAUGUUCUUGCAAGUGCACAAUGAACACCCUGGUCUGCAUUGUCUUCAACUUGUAUAGCUCCCUGAGGAUUUGAUCAUCAUUGGCUGAAGGAGAAAUACCACUUCUAUAGGAGACUAAAGUAUUGAUUUCCAGCAAGGCAUCAGUCAAAUAUGGAAGUAUCCCGGUUCCAUAGGGGCUUUCCUCAUAGAUUACUACAACCUCCCUCCAAUUAUAGUUUUUAACAAUUGCUGCAAUGGCUUUAGUCUGACUGGAAGAAGGAAGUGCGCCUCUGAUGAAGAAGGGAUUUUCCUUGACUGAAAGUGAAGGACUAGUUGCUGGAGAUAUUAUAGGAACUUUAACUCUGUUCCCCAAGUCGAUCACAAAAUCAGUUUGUGUAGACAUUUGUGGCCCAAAGAUAGCUUGCACUUGGACAUCCUUUAGCAAGUAUAUGGCUGCACAUACACAAUCAGACUAUAAGAAAUUGUCUGAACAUCUCUUUUUCAAAAUAGGAAAAGUAAUAUCUUAGAGAAAAAGUGAAUCUUUUGAAGCAAAGAGAGAAAAAUAAUCCUAGUUUAACAUAAGUAAAGCUUAGAGCUGAAUUUUACCAGCUGAUGCUGCUUCAACAUCAUCUUUCUUUGAAUCCCUGAUAUGAGGAACUAUCCUUAUGGCACCGCGACUAGUGUUGGCAUGAUAAUCUGCAAGAGCUAGUAAGAUAGAUAUGUGCAUUACUUUUCCCACAUCUGUUUCCAGAUCAAGAAUUAUGCCCACAUCCACCUUUACAGCACUAGUGUUAUUAUCUUCACCUCUUAUUCCAAUUACAUAGUGGCAAAAGCUAAUGAUGGAAACAAGUUGAAUGAAAAUAAUUAGGAAUUUGCAUCUUGGAUUAUGCAUUUGAAAAACUCUUGUAGAAAGUAAUAUGAGUGUUGGGCAAGAAGCAGUUGUGCUUGUGCAAGAUUUAUAACCACCAUUCAGAGAUGUGUUUAAAGGUAUCUUAACUAUAACUUUUCUACAAUUAAAUGAGACCAAACCUCAUAACUGCAGAAAGAAAAGUCAAAGUUUUCAAAGAAUUACAAAUGGUUUAAAAUAUACUAGUUUGAUUAUUAAAGAAAGAGGACUUUUCACACUUGUUAGACCACAAGCUAGUAAAGCCUCCUCAGUUUUGACCAAAUCAAUAAAUGACUAAAUGAACAUAGUGACAAAAUUGAUUUGUACUCAUUCUCCCAAUACCCAAAGAAGUUUUUGUAUUCAUUGGAUGACUAUCUAGAGGCUACUAAAAGGACUUCCCAUAUUUUGGCUAAGUCAUGUUGAAAGUUGAGUGCUAGCUCAGUUACAAAUAAGUAGAAGAGGUCAGUUUCUAUGACUUGGACAUUGGAAAAGGGCAGCUAUGACUAGUAAUCUUUAGUUUACUUAGACGGUUCAGUUUAGAAUUGGUCAGUAGUAUAAAACUUUAUGGUGGUAGAGGCACAACUUGUAGGGUUGUUCCGGGUUAUCGUUAAAAAAUCAAAUCAAACUUGUAGGGUUGUUUGGUUAGGUUUUAAAUUUUGAAAAUCAACACUAUUUGGUUUGGUUUGGUUUUAAAACUGUAAAAAUAACCAAAUUGAACGUGUAAUUAUAAUAAUUGCUUGAUUGAAUCCACAGUAACUUUCAUGUGUAUUGUUCAUGUACUAGGUGUCUGUGUUUAUAUGUCUUCAAAAAAAUUAUUACUUCCAAAACAAAAAAACAAAAAAAAUUGAACCAAACCGACAAUUAUUUUUUUAUUUGGUUUUAGAAUUUAGAAACCGACUAAAUUGAUCUGGCUUUGAUUUUAGCCAAUAAUCAAUCCAAAUCGAACCAUGAACACCUCUAGGCACAAAUAUAACUUGGUAUGUGAAGGAUUACUAUAAUACCUUUCCUUCAACUUUUUUUUAAAAAAAAAAAACCUCUAUUGGUAAAUUUUUCAAAUCAGUUUUUUUUACUCAUGAGCUCUAUUCCUUUCCCUUUUAUAUUUUUUAUAAUAUAAAAUAUAAGAUAAAAUAAAGAAUUUUUUUAAAAAGAAAUGAGAAAAAAAAUGAUGAAGAUGAGGGGUGAGGAGCUAAAGGAGAGAAGAAAGAUAGAACAUAAGAUGAGAAAGGUAGGGUCCCCAUAUUUUCUUUAUCAAAAAGUAAUUUCUUACCUACCAAAGUCAUAUUUAUGCCUCUACCACCACAAAUUUUUUCGUAUUAACUUGCUUGCAAGUUGCAAAACCAAACAAAGCAAGCAUACCCAAAUGGAGAUGGAAUCUUGGAAUGAGGAUGGUUGGGUAUACAUGUAGGUUUCAAUGUCAUUAUCUCAAUAUAUAUAUACUAGAGGGGCAUGGCCCGUGCUAAGCACGGGCCCAACAUAAACAUAGUUAGUCUAUUAUUCUCUAUAUAGGCAAAAUAUUGUUGGAAACUAUUCACUUAUAUAAGUAACUAAUUCAAGUUAUGUGUUUGUUAACAAAGUUUAUUCAUUCAAGCAUCUGCAAACUAUACACCAUACCAAACCACCAAUAAAGAAAAAGACAUGAAAUGUUAACACAAAUUAAACAACUUCAAAAGAAAGAAAGAAAAGAAGAAGAAUCAAGGAGGUGAAAGAACAUUAAAAUUUUGCAGUCUUAUCAGUCAAAUUCUAGUGGUGUCACAACUUUCACAGGGACCAUCAACUCUUCAACUUUUUGUACAUAUUUGCUUUUCAGUGCCAAUAAAUUAUUAUCUGUCGUUCCUGCAAGUUUUUGGAAAAAGUGUAUCAACAAUUGAUGCUAAAGAUCAUAUACUUUGUUUUGUAUUUUAUUUUACCAAGUAAAAAAGUCAGUAAUUGAUAUACCUAAUUUACUGCACUUAAGACAUUCUAGCUUCUAAAUCUAAUAAAACAAUACUAAUGAACACUUUUAAAUAAAUGAAAGAUGAUGGUACCUAAGGGAUGGAGUAAAUGAAUCAUGUGAAGUAAGCAAAUUGAAGUCAAAGUGAAUGUGUCAAUUACGUGGCCAUUAUAUCAAAUAUUUGUCAAUUCUAACCAAAAAGAAAUUGUUAGACAGUAAAUUUGUAAAACUUUAUAGAAAAUGACCUUUUAUUUUGUCUAUUUUGCCCUUUCAUGUGCUCCUUCAUGUCGCUUCCCCUUUCCAUUUUGUCGUCCCUCUCAUCUCAAUUCCCGUUUUGUUGUCCUCUCUUCCCAAUACUAUUUUUAUCCAGCUUGAUCUGGAAAAGAGGUAACUGACAUAUUAGUGUACUUAAUUUGGAACAAAAUCACUUGGAGAACAAUAAAGUAGGUAAUAAACACGAACAAUACUUAGACUCUGAAGUCUUGGUGAUAGUUAAGUAGUAGAAUGAGGAAGAGAUUAUACAAAUCAAUAGAGUUCAAACAACAACAUAUCUUAUCAAAUCUUAUCACUACCUCGUGGAGGUAGAGGUACUCUUUCCGAAAGAUCAAAUCACUGAUCUCGAUAGUUAUUGUUGAGUAGUUAAUACAUAAAUCUCUCCAGAGUAACAAAAAAAGGGCAGAUAGGGAUUAAAAGAAAUUAAGAAAAUGAAAUACGAUGCUACAUUUCUCAAGAGUUAAAAAGAGGGACAACCAAUUUGAGUAGUAGAUUCAGGUUGAUGGUGAUCUACUAUACAACUAAAUGGUGCAACAACUCAAAAUCUCAAGGAAAACAAAUCAAGACAUUCUUGCAAAUUAAAGGCACUAAUAAAACUGCGGCAGAAAUUCUCGUGACUGUGUGGUUCUAUAUGGAAAAUGACUUCCACAUGCUUGGUCUUAGCAAUACGCCAUGUGCACAAGGAAAAAUAUAUUAUAACCACGCGUUUCUUGUUACCGAUAAACAUGACUUAUGAGAAAGUCAGUUUUUAAGAGAAUUCGAAGAACAACAGGAUAAGAAACUACCCUUUCAUUUACUUUCUCAAACACUUAAUAAGGCUUCCGUUUUUUCAACAUUCUUGCAGAGUUGAUUGUGGAGAUCAACAAUUCAUCCAUUUGACCAUUAUCACUUGUAGACACACUAAACUGACAAAGAGUCUUAUAUCAGGGGUGUAUAAAUGAAAACCCCUUCUUUUCAUAUCUAUUUGAAUUGAUUAAACUUGUCGCACAACAAAUAGGAUCAACGUUUUCAGUAAUCAAAGGAAAGAAAAAAAUCUACAUCAAAGGCAUGUUAUAUGAAGUAUGUGAAAUAAGGAUUGUAGAAACGAAGGAGAAAUAAAGAUUUGAUUAGCUUACCAUUCAAAGUAAUUGUAGACAAACAAAGAAGAAGUGAAUAUUUGAUCACCGCUUACCGUUCAACUCAACUGUAGACAAACGAAGAAGAAGUGAUUGACCCUUAAUUUGGAAUCAAUUGAUUUUUUACUAUAUCUCGAUAAAAAAUUUAAUUUAUGUAACUCAUUUCUAUAUAAACAACCAAGAUGCUUAGAACAUACAUAACAUAUUCAAUGUGGCUUACUUCUAUAAAAAUCAUAAAUAAAAUAUAAAGGAAAGCUUCAAACUCUACCUAAUUAGUUCAUAUGAUCAGCAAAAUCCAAAAAACUUGAAAAAAGAAACAAAUUUGUACUCUCUUGCAGAAAUAAGUUUUGUCUUUUGGAAACAACCUCUCUAUCUCCACGAAGUAGGGGUAACAGUCUACGUACACUCUACCUCCUCAAACCUCACUUAUGGGAACUACACUGGGUAUGUUGAUGUUGUUGUUGUUGAAAUAAGCACAAAAGACUGGACUCUCACUAAAACUUCCGUAAAGAUCAAAUUCUUAAGUUUCAUUCUGCAACUAAAAAUCCCGAAAAUGAAGAAUCAGAUUACUCACAUUGACAAAAGUGGGGUAAAAAAUAACUUGAGCUUUGCUAUUCAAAACAUCAACAACUUCUUCAAUCCCAGAAAGUCUUUUAAUUGCCUUUAAAUGCCUAGCACUAUUUUUUUAAGAAGAAAUUACUGAACAACCUUAGUGAAAAUUCCAAAUUCGCCAUUGCAUCCAACCCCCGUCCCAUCCCUGGACUAUCCUACACCAGCUACCCUUAAAUCCUCACCCAUCCAUCCCAUUGAGUUUUGCUGGAUUACAACGGCCCCCAUCCCAUCCCUUGACUAUCCUAUACAAAAUGGAAAAUCUCUUCUCCAAGGAGUUAGGAGACAAUAAUCGACAUAACUAUGUCAUCUUAUAUAGGGACAAAAUGAAUACAAUCUCACCCUGUGGUCUUCGAAUCUAUAGUAGACAAACGGUAAGUAAAGAGAUAUUGUAUAACUGCACCAACUAUUCAUUAUUUCUGAAGUAAUACAGUGAGUGCAUCACAUGUUAAAGAAAUAAAAUUAAGUUUAUUACUUUUAUUCAUGAACAUGUACAACUCUUGAGAUGAACUUUAAUUUGUCAGUAAACUAUAAAAUAGAGGUAAUUUGUAAAGGCUUAAGCCUAUUGGAUUAGAUUAUGUUCUCCGUGGGGGCAGUUUUUCUUCAACUCCAAAACUGUAUACGUCACUUCUGGUGGUUAUAUGAUUUACAUAUGAGAGGCGACAAUUAGAAGCUGAGAAAAGAAAUGAUCUCAGGUUACAUGACAGAACAAACCAAGUAAUGUUACACUCCCAAUUUCUUUCAGGACACAUAGUAUUGAUAUUUGCGAGCAUGAAAGACUGAAGGAUUAAACAGAGGAGAUAACUCUUAAGAGAGACCUCAUCAAGAACUUAAGAAAAUUUGUGUGAUAAUUUAACAAAUUUAGCGAGGCUAAUUGAUGAAGGAAGUCUAUUCACACUAUAUUCAUUUUAGUGCACUUAUUGACUAAAUGUUUCCCAAGUUCGAAUGUGAGGCCUCUAUUUGAGGAUGUAAUAAAACAACAUUUACCAUUAGAACUAAUUGAGCAGCUUGUGUUAACCCUCUGUAUUUACCUGACGAAUAUGCUUUAAGGUGGAGGAAUUUUUUGCAGUAGUCUUCUAUUAAAACAUCAUUUAAGCUACCUAAAUGAAUGGACAACAUGUAGUUUUUCGACGCAGAAACAAAAAAUCUACCUAACAAAGAGACAGAUAUAUCAAAGAAGCCACAGGUCGAUAAUCAGAGUGUCCUAAAGAGUUACAUUUACAAAAGUUGAGGAGACUGGACACGCUGUCAAAUUAACUCAACACUGAUGCUGCAUUGAAAGUGAGAGUCCAUGUAAUGUGGAUACAAUUCAUUAAGUACACACAAAACAGUCAGCAACUAAUUUCAGUGAUGUGCAACAAAAUUCAUAUAACAUAGCCACCAAGUUGACCAUAAAAUCCAUCAAAACACAUUAAUGAGGAAUUCGUCUUACUUCAGUUUUGAAUUCCCCCGGCUUUUAAGUAUACAAGCCACAUUUUUACUGAAUUUUCUCUUCAAGUGCAGUAAAGUAGCUCAAAGAACAGAAAGCAAAGUUACAACUGACAACUACAUCGAGAAAGAGGCUACUAUGGACUGUCAAUUUUUACAUGUGAAUCCAAAAAUUAAGCUCGCAUAACAACGGGUAAUAUACCAAAUUCAUAUUAAAUUUUAGAUCAAACAACAUCAUUUAUCAUGCCAAAACAGUCUAGCUGUGCAACUUUUAAGCAAUUUGGAUACACUUAUAUCUAAAAAUUGGCUAAACUAUUGAUAAACGUACUAUCUAAUGCUGGAAAUAUGACAUAGUACAGUGAAUAUUGAUCAAUUUACUACCAUCGCUGCAUUUUGAUACUCCUUGAACAGAGAAACGGAUGGAAAUGGACCAGCCAAGCUACGCCUAAUUACACCAUCUCUAUCUUUUAACUACUUUUGUACUUGGCUUCCGAUUGACGCUCAGCUCAGGUAAAGCACAAGAACAAUUAGGAGUAAAUUGAAAUUGUAUAUUACCAGUGGUCAUAUACUCGGGAGUAGCACAACUGAAUUGUAUGGACAAAUCAUAAGAGGGCAACAGAAAUAUUGUUAAAACUUGUAGAAGACUAAAUUUUAAAGUAGUUUUAGAUACAGCAGCCAGCAAAAUGUUAGAUGAUUUGAAAUCCUGAUACAUAAUUUUAGCUUCUGGGCUGUGGAGAUAUGUCAGUCCUUUAGCUGCCUUGAGAGUAACCUUCAUUCGGAGAUUCUAUGAUAGCGGUUGGAAAUAAGCACUCCUCUGUUCAAGAUGUACCAAAGGUUUAUUCAAUGACAUUACACGGAUAAUAUUAGUGGAUGUCCUCAAAUUAGAUGUGGAUUCAAGAUUUCAAGUUUAUGGAUUUCUAUAAUGAACUAAGUUCAUAGUAAAAUAAAUUUCUUAUACAUGGUUUAGAAAAAACAAUUGGGUCCCCAUGAAUCUACAUAUCAUAUUGUGGAUCUGUUCUUGCGUUAAAUAUGCAGUUAUGGUUUCAUACAAACUAUACUUACUUCUGAAUAGAUGAUUUUCCAAACUUCCCCUCGGCAUGAAUUCGCACACCAGAAUCUUGUGUUCAUCUUCUAACCUGGCUCAGGUAAGCAAUUUUCGCCUGUAGUUUAAGUGUACAGAGAAAACAGUUAAUCAACUUAUCAAGAUCAAGAAUUAUAGGAAAGCUUCAAUGUCUUUGAUAAAACAAUCAUCGGAUAUUUUAAAGGGAAGAGUUUAUAUACCAAUCAUUCCUUGUGACCUUGAAAGCUUUCUUCAAGAAUUUCACUUUGACUUUGAGGAGUCAACUGAGCCGAUAAAUAUGAAUGUGAUCAUGGAAAUGAUGCCUAAUUAAUAUGUAUCUUUGUAUGUCUUCUGUCUGUUCCUAGUAAAAGUUGCACCAGUUUACAUCAAUUAAGUAAUAAACUGAAUAAGUUAUAACAUGACUAUCUUAUAGCUUAUUUCAAACUGAACACGUACAUCUUCAUUACGUUUUUUAAAAUUUAGUAGAAAUAGAAAUGUAUAAUGGUACCUGAUAAGCAAAUCAAAUUCGUGACUAUCUUCUUGGCUCAUUCGUUAUGGAUGAACUUGAAGUUUCAUAAUGAACUUACUUUCAGCAGGGUUAUAAGCAUCCAGAUCAUAAAAUUCUUCAGGGGCAAAUGGUAUAGGAACAAAUCUCUGAGCCAAUUUUGUAAUUCCCUCAAGGCGGUAACUAUUGAUUGAAAUCUGCAUUUUUCCAUAGCUUUCAGAUAAAUGAAUAAGAUGUGUUAAAAAUGGAGAUUGUUUGCUAUUUAUAUACCGAAACUUGCACUCUAUGAAAAAUAAAUAACUUAUCUUACAAAGAAUUCUUCAUGUUCAAAGAAAGUCUCCCGUGUCAUAUAAGCAAAUUAUAGUUUAUGUUUAUCUACAUAUACAUAUGUUAGUAUUCAACAUUAUAAUUCAACUGCAUAUCCAACUGGAAAAUUAAAUCAACUAAAGAGGGAGAAAUACUGGACUUUCCACAUAUGAGAAAGGGUUGUGAAAAUAGGGUAACUCUAAUAGCUAAUCCUUCCAGUUGAAAGUGUUUUUGAGAAAAAAAAUCAAAUUAAGUUCGAUGUACCUGAUAACGCUCAAUGUUCCCUGCAUGGCAUCUUCUCAAUUUCUUUCCUUUCCUUUCUUCUCCAAGUACUUGUAAAGUCCUAUUUAUGAAAAAUUAACAAAUUGAAAAAACACCCACAUCAAGAACAAAAGCGGAAGAAACACUACAUUUCAAUAAUCAAAAGCACAAAAAAUUGAAAUACAAAGCGGGACAACGGAGAAGAAGAGGAGUAAACGACCAUAACAACAACAUCCAAUCAAGUUUAGAUUCAGUACAUGCAACAUUACCACAACCUAAACACCAAAAUUGAUGAAUAAAAAAAAGUCGGAACUCAUCAAAUGAAAAAAUCGACAAAACAGAUCUAAAGUCAAAAGGCAAAACAAAAAUGAGAAGAAAGAAGGAAGGGAAGAAGCAGUGCAUACCUAGGAAGGUAUGCAAUUUAACUGAGAAUUUCAUAUGAGGGCUUGCAAAACCCUUCCAUUUUGCAGAGCAUUUUUUCUUGGGACAGAGAAUGGAUGCAGAGGAACAGGGAUAUAUCACAUAGCUAGGACACGUGUUUCACAGAUGAAUAUACAGAUACACAUUAGUUAGAAAGCAAUGAGUCAAAUUACCAAAUUAACCCUAUUGGUACAAUUAACUUGAAUUUUGGUACAACUUGUAUAUGUUGUGUUAGUCCGAACUCUUGUUGGCUGUAGAAGGACACGUGUAGCCCACGUGUUUAUUCAAUAGUGAAUAGGGCUUAAUGGUACAGUACAAUUUUUUAUACUAUUGGUACAACUUUGUAGAGCUGUGUUGGUACUCUUCUUGUUGGCUUAUAUAUAAGGGUAAAGAGCUGUGUUGGUACUCUUCUUGUUGGCUUAUAUAUAAGGGUAAAGAGCUGUGUUGGUACUCUUCUUGUUGGCUUAUAUAUAAGGGUAAAGAGCUGUGUUGGUACUCUUCUUGUUGGCUUAUAUAUAAGGGUAAAGAGCUGUGUUGGUACUCUUCUUGUUGGCUUAUAUAUAAGGGUAAUAUAUAUACUCCCUCCGUCCCAAUUUAUGUGGCACCCUUUAUUUAUAGUCUGUUCCAAAAAACAAUGUCAUCUUACUAUAAUUAGAAACAAGGGAAAAGACUCAAAUAUGUUAUUGAAAUUUGAGAAAAGACUCAUUUAUGUCGUCCGUUAAAAGUUUGGUUCAUCUAUGUCAUUUUCGUUUGAGAAAAAACUCAUCCAUAUCAUUAGUUGUAAACUAAAAAUAAUUUUGGUUUUGUAAGAUCAUUUUAUACACGUGGUCAAUUAUGAUUUGGCCAUGUCAUCAAUUAAAUCAUUUCUAUAGAAGAGAAAAGGUUCAAAUAUGUCAUCGAACUUUGAGAAAAACUCAUUUAUAACAUCCGUUAAAAGUUUGUCUCAUCUAUGCUAUUUCAGUUAAUAAAUAAUGGCAUGAAUGAGGUUUUUCUCAAAUGAAAAUGGCAUAGAUGAGCCAAUUUUUUAACGAAUGACAUAUAUGACCUUUCUCAAAGUUCGAUGGCAUAUUUGAGUUUUUUCACUAGAAACAAUUUCAUUUAAAAUUCACUGUUAUCCUUAAUGAAAUUAUUUACAAACACACAAAUAUCUAAGGAUUGUUUUAAAUCACAAGUUUAAAAGUCUUUUUUUAAAAAAAUAAAUAUAUCGUGUCAAGUUAAACAAUGCCACAUAAAAUGAGACGGAGAGAGUAAUUGUUAAUGCAAGAGGAAGCUGCUCGGGAAGUUACGUGUAUGAUGUUGAAGUUAUUUGACAUGCAAUUGAGGUGAUCCUAUAAUCUUCCAGUAGUUAUGACUAGUAAAAUCACUCAAUUUAUAAAAUAAUACUUAAAAUAUAUGAGUCAUUAAAACUAAAACACUAUAUUAUCUUACAUAUAAGAUUACAUAUAACAAACAUUAAUAAUGUAAGUAAAAAAAAAUUUGAAUAUGUUAACAAAUUUUUGAAUUUUUUCCUCAGACAUAUAUCACAAUUGUAAAAUCUAUGCAACUUAAAUGUGUUCUUGUUCUUACGAAACGCCUUUGUGUAUAUAUAUUCUUAUUUUAUUCUCUCUUUUUUUCCUUUUAAUGAUGAUUAAAUAACCAUUAAUUUAUUAUUUCCUGAAUAAUUCAUUCAUUAGAUGUUCUUGAGUUUAUGUGAUAAUGACAAAUAAUAGUAUAGAUUCUUUUAAGGAAUUUUUUACUGUACCUUCAACAAUUUCAUGAUCAGUAGAGAAAACUUGCAUGAAUACUCAAUUAACAUGUGUUGUUUAAUCUGUACUAACAAAUACUUAAAACAAUAACUUUGUAGAAACAUAAACACAAGUUUAAAACAUGUACUCAAAAACAAUAAUUAAUAACAUAAGCAUAAAUUAAUGAUUGUAAAAAAAUAUACCAGGAUCUGUAAUAAUAGGAUGAAACAGAAAGGAAAAAACUGUACACGAAUAUUUAAUUGUGCAGAUUAAGAAGAAGAAGUUCAAAAUUUUCGUUUUUUUAAAAUGAGAGGAAAUCACUCUAUUUAUAGCUAGACAACAAAGGGUAGUGUGAACAAAUGUUUAUUGUGCCUUAUCGAAAAGGUCACAACUCUUUGGAAAAGUUACAACUGUUUGGAAAGGUCAUAACCUUUCAUAAAAGACACAACUUUUCAUAAAAGUCGCAACUCUACAUAGAAGUUACAACUUUUCAUAAAAGUCGCAACUGUUCAUAUAAGUCGCAACUUUUCAUAAAAGUCACAACUUUUCAUUAAAGUAGCAAAUUUUUAUGAAAGGGGAAGGAUAGUUUUGUAAAUAUAUUAAUUAAAAAAGGAAUCAUGGUUUGUGAUGGCGCCACGUAGGCAGGCCUAGGAUUCUCUUUUAUAUAUAUAUAUGAUAUAUGAUAUGAUUAUUUACUGUGGUCGUUUUCUGAUAUGAUCACAAUAAGAUAUAACCGUCUAUUAUCUUUUAAACUUGUUUUUCUUUUUAGUUUGCAAUAUAUUUUGGAUUGGUAACAUUAGUAGUAUUAAAUUGUUAACAGCACUAGUUUGCAAUAUUUUUGGUUUCUACAAACAUUAUUUGCACAUAUUGAAAGAAAUAUAUAUGAUAUGGUUUCAUUGAAUUAUAUCCUCUACAUAAGCAGUGAAGACAAACAAAGUACUAAUGUUAUUUAAAUUGUCUCUAAAAUUUUGAUGAUUUAACAAACUUUGAGAUCUAACGAACGACCAGAUUCCAAGAGAGAUUGAGAGUUCCGUUUAUGAAAAAAACAGCGGUCUAAAAGCUGCAACACCUGCUGUGGUUGGUGCACGUAUUUUGCAGCAGACAUUCAGCCAAUAGCAGGGCAUUGCUUCAAGAGUUUGGGUCCAUCCUAUAAUACACCUCUUUGACAUUGACACAAACUCAAGUUUUUGCAAUAUAAAAAUUCACAACAGCAAAAGUCAUUCUCUCAGGGAAAUAUUUCUCGAUAAAUGAUAGAGUUAUCAUCGUUCUUAUGUGUUUUUAGGGCUUAUAUUUCUGUGCUUAUACUUGUAAGAUCUAUUCCUACGUUAUAAAGGAAUUAGAUCAUUUGAAGUUUUUUCUGAGUAUUCCGAGUUAUAUCUAGAGUUAGUUAUGUUGUAUUCUUGAAUUCUAGAUCAACUAUAGCUAGUUGAUUUAGUGGGUCAUAGAGUUAUUGCUUAGUUUUUGAGUAACAGAGUUGUUACUAUGAGGGGAAGGGAUUAAGAGUUUAAUUCCUAGGUUACAAGAGUUUGUAAUCUGAAGCUUUGCACUUUUGAUGAUAAUGGAGUUGGGUUAAAUCCUGUGAGACAGACCGUGGUUUUUUCCUCCCUUGAACAAGGGGCUUUCCACGUAAAACUCUUGUAUUUGUUUUAAUUUGUGUUAUUUAUUUUCCACACAAUUUUUCUUUCAAGGGACUUGGUCCAUUGACCGUUAGUGGACGCAUACAUUCUAUGAGUACUAAUAAGAUUGAAAAAGAAACCACUAAGAAAAAGUUAGGGUUAAAUCCAUCAAAUGGAAUCCUGGAGCCACCUCUUGAUGCUAAUAUUCUGGCCAAGAUCAGUAACAAAGAUAUAAUGUAAUCUGGUUUAACUAACCCUAAAGCUAGCUCAUCUCUGUGCAAUCUCAUAUAGGGCCCUAUUCAGGUGUGUCACAAUUAUGGUAGUAGCUAUAUGUGUCAUCUUUCUUCAAUUGUGUCUGUAAUGGUUUCAUGAACUGGAGUUCCAGGUUCUGUUGUAGAGAACCCUUCAGCAGCAGGGGAUGCUCCUAGUCCGUCGGAAAUUCUGAUUUCUGGGAUUUGCAAAGGAAGGUCAGGCAAUAUCUCAGGAGAAGCUUCACUUGCUGCGAGCAAUUUAGGUGCAUUGCUUUCAGAUGGCUUUUCUGACAUAGAAUUAGAGUUGUCUUUCUCUUCAUCAAAGACUUUUGCAAUUGCUGUAAGCUUCUGCCAUAUUGAAUCAUCAGUGGCUAAGAUUUCUCUAUUCUGAUUAAGGAAGUUGAGGAAGAAUAGGAGAAGAGCGAAGCCUGCUGAUACACCAGCUAUGAGGAAAAGUCCCUUAAACCUAUCUAACGUGAGGCUAUCAGAUGUUAUAGCCGUUUCAUCUUUCUGUGGACAAUCUGUUUCAUUCCCAAACCAUUUCUGUAUUAUGUUAUUCAUGAACUCUCCUUCCAUCACCUUCAAGACUGCUCUUGAGACGUCAGGUACCAAAGGAGAUCCUUUUGGAAAUGCCUGCAAUAAAAGAUUAGAUGAUUGAGUAAACAACAAAUCAUUCUAAAUAUAUGUUAACAGUGUCUGAAACAUCAGUGGAGUGUACAAUCUUACAAACCCAAAACCGGCAGCCUUGUAUGUCUGGCCGACCAUAACAUACUUCCUGCAGUACUUGUUGAGGAAGAGUCUGAGAUAAGGUAGUUCAUCAACAAUUGCACCUACACCUCCAUUUUUGCUUCCUCUUGAGAGGGCUUCAUCAUAUUCUUUCAAUGUGAUAUAACUUCUGAACUUGGAGCUGUCAAAUUUCAUGCGCUUUAUGAAGACAUCUUUGACAAAGGAACCUUCUUGGUACCCAACAUAUUCUCCAUUCUUGAUGAGAUCAUUGAGGUCUGUUAUAGUAGGUUGGAGCUGUUGCAGUGUCAACAUAGAUGUUAAGCUGGCUGUAUAACUUGAUGUCAGCACCAGAACCACAAAAACCCACACAAUCAGCAAAAAUCUUGUUAAGUUACUUGUUACCCUCUCUCCUGCAACAACCAGCCAUAACAUAUUCUCCAUUCUUGAUGAGAUCAUUGAGGUCUGUUAUAGUAGGUUGAAGCUGUUGCACUGUUAACAUAGAUGUUAAGCUGGCUGUAUAACUUGAUGUCAGCACCAGAACCACAAAAACCCACACAAUCAGCAAAAAUCUUGUUAAGUUACUUGUUACCCUCUCGGCUCGCUAAAAUGGUCACAUCACCUACAACUGCAUCAUAGUCCUGGCUCAAGCAAACAUUGAUUAUUCCAGUAUGUAUAGUUGAUUGUAAUAGCAGAAAAUAGAUAUCGAAGUCCCAAAAAGGACCAUGUUAGUAAGAUAUAGAGCCAAAGAGGUUUAUUGGAACAGAGAUUAUAUAUUACCUGAGAAGUGAUCUUGUGAACAAGAUCAUCAUAGUAUGGAAGAGUGAGGGGAUCUUGUAUUGGAGAUGGAAUAAAUUCGUAAGGGAGAGCAUAUGGCAAAGAUAGGAUGACUUCUUUGAAGACAUCUGCACAGAAACCAGUUGCUGUUACUGCUUGUGUUUUUGAAUCUCUUUCCACUUUAAUGAGUUGCUCCAGCCCUCCUUUGAGAGGAACUCCAACCCUUAACUUCUUCCCACUUGUGGGCAUUUCCCAGCCUCUUGGAACAAUAGUUGAUUCACCAGGCCAAAAAAUG
rnacentral:lncRNA from 1 species